rnacentral:lncRNA from 1 species
GCUUUAAACCGUAGCAUCCUUCCAAACUAAGGUACUCGAGAACAGGGCUGCCAUUCGACAUCUCAUGCAUCACCUCCGAGUCACAGACGGACAGGGACCUAACAUUAAUCCAAGCGAUACUUCUACUCAACGAGAAGCAACAGAGCCCUGAGUGCAGGUUCACCAAACGAAGAGCAUCCUUAAAAGGAGCCCCGGUACCGCGAAAUGGCCGGCCAUCUCGUACGACCUCUUAGUCGCAUCGACUGAGAGGUCCUUGGCACGGCGGUCGACAGCAAAGCGAAGCCACGGACUGAGCUCAAGCGCGCAACGGUCGAAAAAAUCGGCGUCGAUGUAGAACUUCCUCACCUUGGGCGACGCCUAGAGGAUCAAGACACCGUCCACGGACGGGGAGGCGUUCCGCCAGGGGAAGGAGAAGACGAGGUCCGGGGGCGGCGGUCCAGACGGAUCGCCACCGCUUCGACAAAAACGCACGUGGGGAUAAUGCGUGCGAGGUAGGGGUGUGCAUGGUCCGGGCGGGCGGUCCGGUUCCCGGGUGGAUCAUGGAACCGAUCUUGACGUGAAUUUUUUUUAGUUUUCAACGUAAAACGGUCGCGAAACAAUUUUGGUUUCCCGGACCACCGGUCCGGUCCGGUUCCCAAGUUUUGAGCUCUAAAAUUCUAAGUUCCAAUCUCCAAAAACUAAAACAAUAAUUAAUAGACGAAUGCUCAACAUUAAAUAACAGUCAACUACACGUGAAUGAGGAAGAGGAGGAGGAGCGGUGGCGGCGUGGAUGCUCGGCGAGGAAUCGAAGACGAAGAGAAGAGACUGAGAAAGAAACAGAGAGAGAAUUGAAGAUUGAGGAAGAAACCGGAAGAGAUAAGACGCGAAUUAGGGCUUCGUAACUUUCAUUUAGUAUUUUUUUUAUUAUUAUAAAUAGGUACCGGUCCGGUCCGAGUGGGUGGGCGGGCGGUUCCGCCCACGGAACUGGGAACCGGACCGGUUCUCAACAAUUGGAACCGGGAACCGGACCGGUUCCCUCAAGAACCGCCGGUUCCGGGCGGUUCCGGUCCGGUUCCGGGUGGUCCAGGCGGUUCCUGGGUAUUUUGCACACCCCUAGUGCGAGGUCGAGGGACGAGAAGAUGUGGUGGAUCACCGAGUCAGGGGCAAGGUGGCUGGUGCGAUCGGCAUCGUCGCCUAGGGUUUCGCAUCGACGGGAGGAGGAGGAGGAGGAGGAGGAGGAGGUAGGCGAUCGCUUCGUCUUCGCCAUGUGGGGAUCGACGAUCGAACGGAGGAACCGGAAGGAGAGCCUCCUCCGAUUUGAGGGUUCAUUUCACUCGGGACUUAAGCUUCUGGCUUCCCUUAUAGAGACACGUGUCGCUCGAUGGAGAGGCAAGGCAACCACUUUCCCGCGCCUUUUAAUACGUCUACGAGCCCAUGAUGAUGGGCCUCGCACGUCUUGAAUUGCCGAGUACCGAACCUUAAUUCUUUUAAUCCGAGCUUGUCCAACAUCGGAAAAAAUCAUCAUUCAUAUAAUAAUAGAGUGUGAACAAGGUCGAGUAGGCAUACAUAAGCGAGCUUGAGCCCGCGAAAGAAAAUGUUUGCUUGAUUCCGCUUGAUUUUUGAUAUUACGCUCGGGGACUCCACUUAUAUAGUGAUAGAUAGUGAAACUUUACAAAUAUCUAUAAAAAAAAAAACAGAUAAAAUAAAAAUUAAUCAUAACUAACUUUUAUCAGAUAAUUUGUUUAUCUUAAAUUACAUUCAUGAUCAAGUAUGAUAUUUCAUGAGCUUGAAAAAUUGUCAAUGAAUGCUUCAACAUCUUGAAUUACAUCGGCUUGAAUGCAAGAAAUGACAACCCAAGCAAUUCAUAAAUCUCACCACUCUGAUGGACAUGUUCUCUUAUUUUCAAAUUGGCUAACAAGAAUGCAACUAGAGAAAACUUUCCUCGCCUCACCAUCCUCCCAAAUGCAAGGCUAUUGGCAUCCACAUUGUGUGUCGCCAUUUAGAUGGCGACUCCAUGAUUCUACUAAUUAAGGUUAUUGAGCUUAUGGCUUGAGUUCUAGCCAAAUCGAAUUUAUGUCAGAGCCAAAAAAUNNNNNNNNNNNNNNNNNNNNNNNNNNNNNNNNNNNNNNNNNNNNNNNNNNNNNNNNNNNNNNNNNNNNNNNNNNNNNNNNNNNNNNNNNNNNNNNNNNNNNNNNNNNNNNNNNNNNNNNNNNNNNNNNNNNNNNNNNNNNNNNNNNNNNNNNNNNNNNNNNNNNNNNNNNNNNNNNNNNNNNNNNNNNNNNNNNNNNNNNNNNNNNNCCAAAUAUGUUCUCCAAUGCAAAACUUGGAAAUUCGAUCUUCAUGAAUAUAGAAUUUUUUGAUUUGGGUGGAAUAGGUUGAUUUGUCCUUCCUAUUGAAAAAAAUUAGAGGUAUUCAUAACAUUUUGAAAGUGGAAAACAAAUCAAAUCAAAGCUGAGAAUGGCAUUUGCUUGGCUUCGGAAGAUACCAUGAAAAGAGGUCCAGGAAGAUUCUACUAAGCAAAAAUCCGAACAUUGUUCGGUGCAGGUAAAGUGCAAAUAGCAUUGGUAAAUAUCAAAACUAGUUGACAACUAAAUUUUGAAUGAUAACUUAUUCGGUUGGUAGCAUUUUGGUAAGUUACCAAAAUUUUUCAGAAAAUAUCAACAAUUAUUAGAACCUUUUUUUAAAAUAUAUAUUACUAUUGACAUCCAAAUAAUCUCGAUGGUUAAAGUUAGAAAAAUUCAAGAUUCAAGAUCUCAAUCAUGGCAACACUCAUUUCUUAACUUGAAAAAAAAUUAGAUUUGUAUCAGUAGUACUUUAAUUGUAUAUAGGUGUUAAUUCAACAUAAGCGUGUAGGAAUAGGCGUUUAGAUUUCAAGUUUUCAUAGAAAUGGCUUAAAAUCCUUUUUUUUUGGUCAAAUCAAAGAAUCUACCUUUGACUGAAAAAAAAAAAUAUUUCAAUAGUUUUUAAUUUUUUUUAGACAUUUUAUUUAGAAAUAGUGAAAUUUAAGUACCUACAAUCAAAUCAAAGAAAUAUCAAUUUCAAGAAUCGAUUAAUCAAUUAGAACACCAUAUUUGUUAUCAUGGAAUUUGAGCUCACACCUUUCAAGAUCGCGUCACAUGGCGCAAUUGCACAAAACUCUGUUGGAGAAUAAAAUCUGUUCUUUUCUCAUCUUGGAAGGGGUCCUUUUUUUUCUUCUUCUUUUGGCUUCUUUUUAUGUUCAAGAGGGAGGCGCCACAAGUUAAAAAAAAAAAGGGAGAAAAGAGAGAAAAAUAAGGAGGAUUGACUCUCCAUGAGUGCUGUGUAUACACCUUCACCGUCGCCCCAUCACAUCCGACCUCAUCCUCGUCACCGCAAGCUGCAUCCAUUGUUCUUGGACUUCAUUCUCUUGAGGAGUUGGAGCAAUAGUCGCCGCUACCCAUUCCGACGAUUGAAACCCACGCCAUCACUUCGAUGAGCCUCUUCAUCGCUCCUCUCGACUCCAUUAGUUGCCAAGCCAGUUGCCCUCACUAUUCCCGAGCCGCCCUUUCCUGCUCCACUAUUGCUCCCUGCCUUCCCAUCGUGAAAACCGAAGAGCCCAGAUCUCGUUCGAAGACUCCCUCACUGGUCGUUGUUCUGUUCGUAGAUAGUUGUAAAGGUUCCAAUCGCCGGUUGCGAGUGCCUAUCGUAGCCUACUUACACCACUGAUAAACUAGGCUUUCCUGCUGCCUUCAAUGAUGGUCAUCGAUGAGGAGCCACUCAAAACCUGACGGUCCGAGGGUUAAUUUUUGAGCUUGAAUAUUCCGGUUGGUUUAUCCGAUUCUACCUCCACUUUUGUUACUUACUUUUUGUGGAUGCAAUGGCCAGCGCAAUGGUUAGUCGAUGGUAGGAGACGGUGGUUCGGCGAAGAGCGGGAAUGAGUAACAGUGGUAUAGGAGUACUUUUGAGUGUGAGAUUUUGAAUGUUUCCUCCUGGUUCGGGGAAGCUUUAGAUAGCAUGAAGAUGCACCGUGAAAAGUCAUUGAAGGUGGGAGUUCUGGGAAUAGGGAGCCAAGCCUCGAAGAUGAGAUGAGGGGUGAAAAGGCGAGAAAAGGCUAAAAUGAUGAUGACAUGUCCGGUGGGGUGAGGCCCCAUACGGGGACGAGGUGGCGUUGUGGAGGGCCGGUCUUUUCCUCCGUUCCCGUCAUCCAACCCUCUCUUUUGCUAAAUUAGUAAUUGCUAAUUGCAAUGGGGAUUUAAAAAUUAGUUCCCUGGAAUGUUCUAAAUUCUCGAGGAGAGGAUGGUAUCCCUACUGCCGGAUUGCCAAUGCUGUUUCAUGGUAACGAUUUCCAGAAUGUUCCAAAUUCUCGAGGAGACGAUGGUAUCCCCACUACCGGAUUGCCAAUGCUGUUUCAUGGUAACGAUUUCCAGAAUGCCAUGUGGAGCGAUACGAUCCAUUCUUCGAGCCAAACGGACUAUACCGGGGGCGGGAGUGUCCUCGACUCUGAACCUCCCUGUGCCUCGACAUCAAGCUUCCAGUCUUGGAGUCCACUUCCUCAUCCUGAAGGCAAUCCCAUGAUGGGAGAUUCCCUAGCAAUUUAUUUAGAUGACAUUUUGGAAUGUGAUGACUUGUCAGAUCCCACAAUUCGAUGAUGAUUGUUCUGUUAGAGGUACCAGGAACGGUGGUGUUAAGUCUGAAAUUUAGCCCAAUUCUCUUUCUUCCUCAUAUCUGCAACUUUUCUCCGCGAAUUCUCAGACUCCGCUGGACCUCGCAAGCCUCCCUCCAUUGAAGCUCCAUCCAUCACAAGCUCACCAUGGGUUUGCAUUUCCCAUUGAUGCUUCUGUACCCUCCUCGCGUUUUGUCACAGCAGAGCUGGUGGCUGCAUUUUCGGCUGCUAGUGGCGUGUGCUUCUGUUUCAGCUUCAGUUCGACAAACUGCUUUGGCUUCUCAGGUUCUACUUCCAUUCGGCGUUCUUUCGUGAUCUAAUGGGUGGGUCAAAUCGAUUGUUCCGACUCGGUUUUGUGAGGUUUUGGCUCUAUUUCUUCCAAUUGGCAGUUGAAGAUGAUGGAGUGGAAUCCGGAGAAGGAUUUGCUGGCGAUAGUCACAGAGGACUCGAAGGUGGUCGGUUCUUCGCUUCGAUUGGCAGGCGCUGUAAACAAUCUCUCCUGAGUAUAGCUGAGACUAGAGAAACUUUAUUUAUUUAUUUAUUUAUUUAUCUAUUCAUUCAUUCAUUUAUUCAGGGUGUUGGAUUCAUUCAUUCAUUCAGGGUGUUGGUUUCUUCAACGAUGGGCAUUUGUGCUUCAGUAUAUUUGGUGUCUUUCCAAUCGGACAUAUCAUAAGCAUCCCGUGUGUUGAAAUCAAAUAUUUAGCAGUAUGGUAUAUUGGAUACAGCCGACACUUCAUUCUUUCCUUGUUCUGGCUUCUCAUUCAGCACUUUUUCUUAAUAAAUCAGUAUUGCCUGGAAAGUAAUAGGCUGAUUAAGUAAACAAUUAUACCAGGAAUGCUUGUGAAAGUUUCAGAUGUUUAUGCCAUUUCACAGGCUAGAUUUCACAUUCGUUGGUCGAUGACACCCUUCCAACUUGGAUACAGAACAAUUAUCUUAUUUUUGUUUGGCCUGAGGUUAGCCUGCCUUACCUACUUGCUCUACUCUAGGCUAUCGGGUUUCUGCUCUGUUCUAUGAAGAUUUCCAAUCAAUUCUCCAGGCUUGAUUUGAUUCGUCCUUAAUGUUGUACUAGGUAAGAUGAUUAUCCGUUUACUGAUAAAAUUCUUGGUAUUCUUUUCUUAGAUGAGGGCAUAUGAGUUACUCAUCUGUAUUCGGUUAUUCAUUCGUGUAUAGAACAUAUUUGUUUAAAGGCCUUCUUAAACGAAUAAACUUUUUCAUCAGCUCUUUUAAAUUUAGUUACUCUCUCUACUUUCUUAAAUCAAGCUUUACUACAUGAAUAACAUAUUAGGAGCUAAUAAAAACAUGCAAAUCGUUUGCAUUUAUGGUAGUGAGAACUCUGGUUCCUUUGAUUUGAUGAUCCUCUUUGAUCAAAGAUGUUAUGUACGCAUUUGGAAUUUGAUAUUAUUGCCAAGAGAUAAUGAUUUUAGGCUAGUAUCGAUUGAUGUAUGUGAACGUGGAUGUUCAUGGGCAGUGGAUCUUCUGGUUUGGACCAUUUGUAGGGGCACUAGCAGCUACAGUACCAUCAGCAAGUCAAGGCCCUCAAAGCAACUGCCGUCAAGGCCCUCAGCGGCAACCCUGCCCACUAAAAUCUUUCCCUUUUUCUUUUUUGCAUUUUUAUGCCCAUUUUCUAUUUUUGUGAACGAGAGACAACUAUGACGAUAGAUGGUGAUGGUGGUGAUGACGGAACCCCUCUUGAUUUAUAGAUUUAUUGAUCCCAUUUAUCAUUAUUAUUGCUGUCGUUACUGUUCAAUGAUUAGUGGUGGAAGUAUUUCCUUUUCUUUCGUAUUCUAUCUCCCUGUGAUCACGUGCGCUCCUGUCAAAACCAACCCAACAACCCCAAUCAAGUCGAGUGUAGAGACUGUGGCAGACAUAAACCCUACAUCCAGGACUCCUAACGAUGAGCAAAUAUUCGGUAUAAAACUAGAAUUGGACCUGGAACAUGCGUGAUCAGCACGAGGAUGAACAUUCCGUGCGUCUCUAAGGAAACACACCUGGUACUAACAGGAUGAGCAAAAAGUUGCUCGAACUAUAUAAUAAUAUUGAUGUGGUUUUGAGUCGGCGUCCUUCUAUCGUCGGAUGUAACAUUACAGUGUCUCGACUGAGGGCUGAAUCCCGACUAAUCCUGGCAAAAAGCCAGGGUGACAAGAGGGGGGUGGGGGAAAGAGGUGAGGCGACAAGUGCUGCGUCGAUCUACUUUCGGACUCAAAAUUGCAUCUAGCCAAUAGCACGUCCAAGUAGACAGAGAAAAUAUGAGAAAAUAUUGGAUAGAGCUAUUGUUCGGGCAAAAUGUGAAAAUGUUUAGGACUUAAUUGAUAUAAUUAAAAGGUUCAGGAUUAAAUUAAUACAAAUGCAAUAAGUUUAGGAUUAUUAUUAUUAUUAUUAUUAUUAUUUGAUAAUUUUCCCGUCAAUGCCAUGGUUCAUACAAUUCGACAUUCUGACCACUACAUGUAAAACAGGUCAAUCAAAUGAUGAAAUUUGACUUACGGAUCAAUAAUAUCACACUAAUUCAGCUCUUUUCCUCUCCUUACUCAGAUCUUACUAUUGCUUAAAAAUAACAAAAAUUCAACGACGGUUAUAGCGUAUAAUAUAUGGUCAUAAAAUCCCAUAGAGUUGCCUCCAGAAAAUUUUGCAAGCUAGGCAUUCAGAAUGCUACACAUAAAUUUACGAUGUCAUGAUGCUUCACUUGUAAUCAAAUUACAUUAUCUAAUUCUUCGUUGAGUGAAGGUGUCAAAAAUUGGCUUAUGGGGAGCGAGAUUUCGAGUACAUUUGACUUUUACAUUUAAUUCCAAGUUUUGAUAACGAUGUAUUUAGUAAUAACAACUCGAUUGAUUAAUACAUAAUACGAAAGAAAAUCAUGAUAUUCAUGAAAAUGUAAUAUUCAAUCAAAACCUUAUAAAUUAGAAAGACCAUAUAUAUGUGAAAAAUGAAAAUGCAUUAACUUAGAAUUUAAUAAAAGGAAGCAUCGAUGGCUAAAAACAAUGUAGAAGAAUGACUUCAGGAUUAGGGCAUGGGACGACUCAAAUAGGUGUUCAACGGUUGGAUUAUCGUACUUCCAAAUAAUAUUGAAAAUACUAGGUAUGUAGGAUUAUUGCUCUAGAUCCCUCCUUGACUUUAUCUUCUUUUAAUCAAGCUCAUGAGAUAUAUCAUGAUUUUAAGAAAUAUUGAAUGUUUCUGUUACUUUUUUGAAAUUACUAGGAUAGUGAAUGUUAUGAAACAAUAGUUGUAUGGACAUCGAAAAUUUUUCUAGUUGAUUUGAUUUGUUCAAAUAAAUAUUGGUGGUAUGAAAUUCUGAUUCGUAGCCUGUCAAAUGUUAGUGAUAUCACUGAAGAAAAUAGACUAGAGCAAUCGAAAAUUGAAAAAAAAAAUCUAAUUUCUAUCUGUUUUAUGCAAAAUGGACGAAUUUCCUGUAAAAUAAUAAUAAUAAUAAUAAUAACAACAAUAGCAACAGUAGCAACAACAAAAAUAAUUAUAAUUGAGCAUCUUUGGAUGUUUCAAGGCUUUGAGUAAUUUUUGGACCAUUGGGUUUACUUAUCGGGCCCAUGGAUCCAAAAUCGAGUAUCAAAGGGCAUUCACAUAAAUUUCGUCCUAAACGGGCUUCUUGGCCCAAGUGAGUUCAGCCGCUAUUUCUGUGGGUGCAAUUUCUGAUAAAGGGCUGAAACUUGCAUCGCAUUGUUACUAAGAGGUAAAAUUAUUUGGUUAUAAUAUUGGAUUGGGUAUUGGAUUUUGGAUAUACAUUGAAAAUGAUUAUGUAGGUGAACUAUUUCAAAUCACUUAUUGGUAUGUUGGAUAUCAUGUAUUGAUAUUGAAUUGAUGCACAUGGUCAACCUAUGCAUUGAGAGAUGAUAUAUAUUUCUAAAAUCGGUUCGAUUUUGGGGCUCAGCCACAAGUGAAAUGUUUUCUAGGGCUUAACUACAAGGGGCGUGGUUCUCUAGAUCUUGUAACCUACCAAAGUGUGGCCAUAGUGUUCCGAAAUGAGCAACUGGUCUAGUAUCUUUAUGCUGAGUAUUUCAAUGAUGUAUGAUGUGCGUGAUUUAACUACGGUGUUUUUGUUAAUGUGCCGCAUAAUCAUUCGCUACUCAAUUUCAUUGAAGUGGUGAUUGUUACCGCUGUAGUCAUAAUUUUGCUCACCCCUUUCGAUAUCAUUUCAGGUUGUGAGUAAAGAUACUUGAUUGAGUCACAUAAAGAGCAAUAUGAAAUGGCGUGGAACUCUAAUUAAGACUUUUUUUCUUCUUUUUUUUGUGGGUCAAAAUAAUUUAGAUCGCUUGAGUAAGGGCUAUCAUGAAACUCUCAUUUGGAUUAAUUUACGACACUCUGAACUUUGUUAACAUAUUCAUUCGGUGAAAGGUAGCUAUUAGGGGUGAGCAGCGGUCUAGGGUCGACCCUGGACCGACCCUGGACUGACCCAACCCUGCCGGUCCUGGUCCGGUUCCCAAGAGGACUGGAUCGGUCAUUGGUCCUGAAAUUCCAAGACCAACACUGUGCGGGUUAGUUCUCGGUCCUAAGAGUUUUGGGUCGGUCCAACCCUGGACCAACUCUGUAUAGUAUAUUAUAUUAUAUUAUAUUAUAUUAUUUUAUUUAUAAUUCUUUUAUAUAUUCAAAUCUAAGUAAAAUGUCUGUUAUAUUAUAUUAUAUUGAGAUGUUCUAUCAAUAUCACUAAUAGUAAUUUCAAUUUAAAACUUUUGUUGAGUAUUAAUUAUAUGUCGUUUGUUUUGUUUUCAGGUGUUUAGAAGUUCAAGUGAAUUAAUAAGAUGUGAAGUUAUAUAUAUUCAUGGUUUAUAUUAAGUAUUUUGAACUUUUUAUGAUUUAAUUGUAUUUUACUAAUGAAUUUCAACUGCACUUUGCUUUUCGAUUUGUGUCAAAUGGUAGAAGUUUUUGAAGAGUAGAGUAGUACUGCAUUUGCUAUGGUGAUUUGCUAGUCAAGUGGUGUGAAGUUCAUUUUUUUGUUGAGUGGACUCUAUAUGAUCAAAUGCAGGAAAACGCUUUUGUAUAUGAUGUUAUGAAUAUUAAAGAUAGAUGAUUACAAGAACUUUCCAUCUUGUUCCAUAUCUCGAUGAGCGGUUAGUAGGUACGAAAUUUCUAUUAUUGUGUCAUCUUAAAUUUGCUAAAUAUGUAUUGGUAUUUAUAGUUUAGUUACAUAAUGUCGCAUUGUCGAUGGAUGUAUAAUUUGAAUUUUUAGGUUUGCUUUUUUAGGGAGUAUAAAAAAUAAGACGAAAAAAAAUUAUCGAUCGGUCCCGGGUUGACCAUGGAACCGGACCAAACCCAUUAGGUCGGUCCGGUCCUUGGUCCCAAGCUCAAUAGGGUCGGUCAUCGGUCCUAAAAAUUGAGGACCGACACUGUACGGGUUGGUCCUAGGGUUAGGGGGUGGCCCGGACCAACCCGAACCAUGCUCACCCCUAGUAGCUAUCAUCGGUUGAAGGUUUUGUCCUUUAUUUUAUAGGGAAUAUUCGGUCAUUCCCUAGAUUCUAAGUUCGGAUUUGGAGCCUGGCAGUAGGUGACAUUCGCGCACGCACAUUUAUUGCGAGAUGGAAAAGUAGUCAAUGUUGAAAAGUCGACCAAACAAAAAAAAAAUAUUAAAGCAAUAGCAUCCAUAGCAACCUAAACUCUAGAUUUUAGCCAGUUUUAACUUUAGCCUCCCUUGAUUUUUUUUCUUUUUUUUUUUGAGUCGAAUGGCCUCCCUUGUUUUUUUUUUGUCAAUUCUACUCUAUUCCUACUCUACACUCACUCUCAGACUUUUGCCCUACCUCUUGCAGGGUGUGGGAGUCGAAACCCACUCCUGAAACUUACGCGUCCCCACCCCAUCCCCCCUUGAGAAGGUGGGGAUUUGAACCCCUCACCUCCCCCUUCCAUGUUAGAAGGGUGGUCACUGGGGUGAAUCCAGUGGUUGAAUGGCCUCCCAUGUUUAGCCGCCUGGAAUUGCCCUUGUUUGUUUACGUGGGUCGAGAGUGUAUUAAUAAACUUAUAUUAUCGAAAAAGAAAAAUUCAUAAUUUCCUCUUUUAGAAAACAGACAAAAUAAAUAAAAUAUUAGAGCACCGUGAGAGCACCGUGAGAGAUUAUAGAAGGAAUUCCUCCGAGCCAAAUUACUAGUAAUAGUGCUUGUAAGCACAUCUUCUAUUGGAUGAUGGGCACAACUUCAAUUUUGAAUAAAUUUUGGGACUUUAUUGAGAUAUUUCCGCGUCACCUGCCAACGUCACCGUAUUAGGGAAACGCGUCAGAGGUUAAAGCUUGAACUGCAAGAUUGGCCACGUACACCAGAAAGCCAAGCAGCCUUCAGAGUUGACAAAAUCCCCACUUCACUCGGUUUGGUUUGCAUAUGUUUAAUUUGAUCACUCCACCACCUUAUGCUAAUCCACUCGCAUUCUUUGUCUUAUUAUAAUUUGGGUUAUAAGGAAAAACCCAAAAUUAAUAUACCUUUAAUAAAUUAAUUCUAUACUAAUUUUUUGAUCACUACAAAUCCAAAACUGAUAUGAUAGAUUUAUCAUAAUUUAAUUUUUUUAAUCAUAAAAAAUAUUAAACUGAUAUAUUUGUGAUAAAUUUACUCUAUGUUAGUUUAUCUUAAAUUGGAUUAAUACUACAGAAAAUCCAAAUUGAUACAUUUGUGACGAACGGACGGCAUGUGCCAUCCAACUCAAUAAUUUGACGAUAAGCUUUAAUAGAAAUUAAUAUAAAGUAAAUUUGUUACACGUAUAGCAAUUUAGGGUUUUGGAGAGUUUAAAAAUCAGUUUGAGUAAACGUGUUACAGUGUACCAAUUCGGAAUUUAUCUUAAUAUUAACUUUUAUUAUUAUUAUUAUUAUUAUUAUUUUCAAUAUUAUAAUAAAAUUGGCCACGUCCAACGUAAAGCCAAGCUUGGAGUUUGGCCUUAUAAUCGCAUGUGAUUAGAAGUGAUUAAUGUUUUUUAGCACUAUAGAUUAUUACAAAUAGAGAUAAGUGCAUUUGAAGUUUUAAAACUUAUCAUGAAAGUGUAAUUGAGUCUUAAGAUUUUUAAAAAAUGCAAUCAAAUUUUAAAAUUUAUCAAAUUAAUGUAAUCAAAUCCUUCUGUUAAUUCCAUUACGAAAAAUGCUGACAUGACAUUCUUUGUUAUUUUCUUCUCCAAAUCUAACUUAAAUUAGAUUUUUUAAAAAUUAAAAACAUAUUAAAAAAAGAAAAAGUGCCCUCACCGGUGGGUCACCAACGCCGAAGAGGGCCGGUGGAGGUCACCGAGGCAGGCUGAAUUUUUUUGGGUCUUACAGGCUGGUGCAGCCAUUUAUUUCAUCCAGAAAGAAAGAAAUAGGGCACUUCAUGGAGGAACAUCUUCUGUUGACGGAAUUAUCAGCAAUGUUCAUUUCUCCAUUAGAGUGCAGAUGUCCUCCUUCAUUAUGUUGAGGAAGAGGGCAUUGCUGCAAGAAGAUGAGGAGUUUCCGGAUGGUAUAAUUGAUCACUCUUGGCAGCUGUGGCGGCCGCGGCGACCCAUCGGCGAGGAUCCUAUGGCUCUUUUUUAAAAUGCAAAAUAAAAUAAAAUAAAAUUUUAGAUUAUUUUAAUCUAAUUUAAGUAAGAUUUGAUGAACAAAAUAAUUAGAAAAAAGGUCACGUAGGAGAGAGAAAAUAAAUAAAAAAAUUUACAUGCCAGCGUUUUUUUUUUUUUUUGGUACCCAGGGAACCUGUGCGCCGCUUCGUGGCGGAGUAAACCCUGUGGUGACCUGGGCCCCCACGGCUGACCCAAAACCACGAAGCUUCGAACUCCUCCCCUAGCGGAUAGGGUACUAAGCACGAAGCCAACGCGGCCACCGCGGGCGGUGGUGACAUGCCAGCGUUUUCUGCUAAAUAGUUUACCAAGUUAAUGGAAAUAGUUGAGUACACUAAUUUGACAAAUUUUAGAGAUUGAUUGUGAUUUUUGAAAAUUUUAGAGCUCAAUUACAUUUUCGCAACAAGUUUUAAGGCUCCCAGUACAUCCAUCUUGACACAAAUUCAAGCAUGUCUUCAUUUAUAAAAGACUGUAGGAUAAAUUUACCUCAAAACUCACGCUGAAGGCAAAAAUAGCUUAAUUAUCUAAUAGGCUAAAGCCCGAAAAAGAAGAUAAUAAUAAAAAAAAAAAGAUGCAAUUUCAUAAUAUAAGGGGGCAAAGUGCUAAAAUCUGAGAAAAUUUAGAUUAAAAAAAAAAAAAAGACACUAGCCGGUAACGUUUCGGGGAAAUGCAUCAAGUCACAUUUCGCGGAAAGUUAUGUGCUGCAGGAUGUAUACAAAAAGAAGACGCACUGCCAAUGAUUACAAGAGAGUUUGGGUUCGUUGAUGAACUGCCUUCCCUGUCUGAUUCUCUGUCUGCUGCAGUUCUUCAGCAACCAAACUCUAGACACCUGCUUAGUUCUUGUUAAGCUUCACAGAAGAACAGGAAAACCAUGUCGAUGCAGAAGAGAGCUUUGCCUUCCUCCUCUUCUUCAGGUCAACCAAGUCAACCCAAGAGGCCAUGCUUGCCUCCAAUCGAGUAAGCUCGCUCUUUCCUCUUAACCUUUCAAUGUUUGAUUCAUUGUUUGAUGAUCUUGCGUUAGUUUUAGCUGUACUUGAGGGAGAUUCAAUGAAGGGUUGUUGAGUUGAAGAUUCUUGAAAUGAGAGAUACGGUGAAAGCCCGCCAUCGAUAAGCUUUUGCCUCAUGACCGUUCGAAAUCGCUUUCGUUCAGUUCUUUGUUGGUGGGUUUGUGCUGUUGUUCUAAUGCGAAGAAUUAAAGACCAUGAAUGUUGUCGUCCCGGCUGUUUUGUGAUUUCGCGUUUGGCAAUCGCAGUACUUCCUCCUGAAUCUAGCUGUAUUCUUGGUAGAAUCAUUUGCCUGGCAAGUGAGCUGUUAUCUUUACCAGGUUACUUUGCUAUCCUGUAGUCUAAAAUAUCCUAUCUCGCUUUUAAUUUUGUGCUGAUGUUCAUGCAGUCAAGCAUGGAAUGGGUCUGAGACGAAUCUCAUGCCAUGUCGCUGUUUGACAAAGGAGGAUGUGUGGAGUGUGGUAAGAUGAGUAAAGUAGCCAACUAGAUCAUGCAAAGUGCAGUCCUUAUUAUAUUUCAAUUCCUGAUCUCUUUUGAGUUGAGCAGUUAGAUGAAUUUCUAACAUUCCAGUCAGUUUCUGGAUGGAAAUCCGUAUGAGAAAUAGCUGUGAGAUGUAUAGAGAAUUAUUCUUUGUGUGGUAAAAAUGACCCGUUGAAUAUUCUAGGCUUUUCAUGUGAAGCAAUUGCACUGAGAACAUGCUUUAGGCUUUUCAUGUUGUUUUGGAUAGUAUGAAUCACAAAAAGAUCCAAAUUUUCAAUGAAGUGCCCUGGACAUAACUGUCGCCAUGAAUCUUGGAAAUGUGGUCGAUAUUAAUUUAAAUGUAGAAGGAGGACAAAGAAGAUGCCUGUGAUGUGAAACUUGAAUGCAAUGAUUACAUGACAGAUGAUUCUUGCAACGUAAUUCUUUGCUAUCACUCUUUGCUAAACAGGUUAGAGAAGUGCUGGAGCGGGCUAAGUCUCACUCGCCUGAAUGUCAAAGGUGAAUAUAUUUCUUGGGUUCACUGGCAGUAUCUUAUCUGCAUCAAUCGAUUCCUCCAGUAGAAUUUCCAUUUGUGUUGUCUCGCCAUAUGAAAAUAUCAUCAGAUUCUCAUAUGCCAUCAAUCCAUGAUUCUUUUAGGCAAAGGGGAAUACCUGCAGACACUUUUUUUUGUUAAUCACUGAAAAGACUCUGCAGUUGUAGAUAGCUGCUAAUUAACUUUACUGGCUUCUUUUAUAACUGUACUGGAUAAAUACGUAUUCCAGCUUCAUGUCAAAUUUUUUUUUUUUUUAGUGUAGUAUCUAUGUUUUUAUCCUGUAAUUAGGUCUGACAUUUAUUUGGACUAGUGAAUAAUAUGUUACAUAUGGAUAUUUGUCUAUUGGUUACGAAUGAGUCCGCUAGACAGCAUUUAUUCAGAGUGUAAUUUACAUGUGUAGUUGCACUGGGCAUGCUCUUGAAGUGGUUGCGCAACGGUUGCACUCAAUAGAGUAUGCUGUUCAGAAACUGGUAAGAUAAACAGAGUCUAUAAAUUUAUUGGUUUGUCUCUGUCAUAUCCCUUCUGCUUCAUUUUUUGGAUGUCUCCAACUUUGGCAAUUCUACUGUUGGUGGUUUUGAACAGAUGGAAGCAGUGGAGCUUGGAAACAUUCAUUCUCCCCAACUUGCGAGGUAUGAAUGCACUUCCCUCGUGAUGCUGUUGAGAAAGGCUUUCUGUGUAGUGUUGACGGGUUAUGCAUUGUUGAUGUUUUGGGGAAUAAUGGUCCGACCUACCGCUACCAUCCCAAGCAGGCAGUCUGAGCUCUCAGUGAGUGUCAGGCCACAAUGACUCGGUCGUGCACAAAAGUGUCAAUGCUCAAUUUAGAACAUAAUUUUUGUGGCAUGCGAGCAGUGGAACAUUUUAUUUUAUUUUACUUCAUUUUUUUUUAAAUGUGCAUUAUUAAACAAAUAAAAUGAUGGGUCUAAUUAUCCUUGUAGUAAGACCUGUCCAAGUGAGAUGUUGGGUAUUUUGUCUCUCUUCGUCGUUACUUCUCCAAUUUUCUGUUUUUAUACACAUUCCUAUUUCUGAUAGUUAUUUUCUGGAGAGAAUGCAGGGCUAAUGCUAAUUCUACGGGAGAGAAUGAUGUAAGAAACUUACAGCUUCAAGUUCAAACCAAACUGUCAGAUUCUCUAUUUACUGGACAGAAGCUAGAAGGAGAGGGGGGUGCUCGCAUUUCUGUUGCCUUGAUCAAUACAAAUACAGGGGAUGUUGUUAGAUCAGGCCUGGAAUCCUCCAUUAAGUUGGACGUCGUCGUGCUUGAAGGUGACUUCCACAAAGAUGAUGAGGAUAACUGGACCCAAGAAGAGUUUGAGAGCCACGUGGUUAAACAACGUGAAGGAAAGAGGCCGCUUUUGGCUGGAGAUCUCGUAGUGAAGCUCAAGGAAGGUGUUGGGGAGAUGGGAGAACUGAUAUUUACUGACAAUUCCAGUUGGGAUAGGAGUAAAAGAUUCAGAAUAGGGCUUAAGGUGGCAACGGGUGGUUGUGGGAACACACGAAUCCGAGAAGCAAAAACAGACGCCUUCCAAGUCAAGGAACAUAGAGGGGAAGGUAGGUCCUUCAUAGUCUUUCUACAGUAUAUAAACCUUAUCCUUUAUGACUGAACAUAAACAUGAUUUUGGACAUCCAGAGUCUUCAAUUUUUUAAUUUGGAGCUUCAUUUCGUGUGGACCUUUACAACUCGAACAAAGAUUUUGAGCAAUUCAGAAUAUUUCCCAAGAGAGACUAGAGAAAAACACGUCCUGAUGAUAAAUGAAUGUUUCAGGAGGAAUAUCUAGUUGAGAAGUAAUGAGGGUAACGUUCAAGUAACAACAUAGAAAACUCACUUCGACAUCAUGCGGUAAAACUGUACCGUCUUCAAGUCCCAAGAGAACAACCUUGCCAUCAGGACACCGGCAUAAUGAUGUUAUACAUUUACCUGGAGCAGAUUAGAAUAAUGAUUAAGAGAAGCUAGUAUUGACGACACACAUUGAAAUGUGCAAAGAAAGUGAAUUCAUUGUAAACGAGAGAGAGAGAGAGAGAGAGAGAGAGAGAGAGAGAGAGAGAGAGAGAGAGAGAGAGAGAGAGAGAGAGAGAGAGAGCAAAGAAAGUGAAUUCAUUGUAAACGAGAGAGAGAGAGAGAGAGAGAGAGAGAGAGAGAGAGAGAGAGAGUAUUUUAUCCCAAUAAAAUUAAUAGAAGAAGAGGAAAGAUAGAGGACAGACAUUAACCAACAAAAUGUUAAUCAAAAUUUAUGAAGUGAGGGAAAAAUGUAAUAAAUGUACAAAAUAGCUGAGAGGGAUAUUAGUCACUCGAUAUGGGAUUUCUUUGAGCUAGUAGGUCAUCUAAAGCAAGGGAGUCUAUAUCUUGUUGGCAGCCUCCACAUCCAAUAUCAUCAUAAAACAAACCUUUUUGUUCAAUUAUGGAACCUCAAGGUGAAGUGGUUGCACGAAAAAUUACUUCAGGCGAGGAUUACAAGUGUAAUAGUAUUUACAACUUAGGAUCUUAAGAGAAACCAUUCAAGGAUUGGCUCUAGUACUAUAGUGCACUCAAAACAUUCUCCAUAUCCAGAAGACAAUAUGAUGAGCGAAGCAUUGAGAUGUUUCCAGAGAAAAAAUCUCCUCUCCAAAUUUUUCCGGUGAGAAUAGACAUGAAGGACUACCAAGGCUAGGCAUCUAACUAAGUUCUUACAACUUUGAAUUACGAAAAGAUUAAGUCAUAUAGGAACCCAACAUACUUGGAUGUAGCUCCCCUGACCCUCCUAGUCCUUUUGCUUUCUCCAAUUUCUCCGAAAGAACGCCGAGCAAGAGCCGAACCUGAGAAGCCAGGCGGUUUGUCGAACUGAAGCUGAAACAGAAGCACACGCCGCGACCCUGCCUCGUCUCCAUAGCUAGAAAGCUCUGCUGGAGAAGUUGAAGAGCGAGACAAAGAAGGGAAGAGCGGGAGCGAGGUCCAUUGAAGCCUGAAAAUUCGCGGAGAAAGUUGCAGAAGGGGAACAAACGAGAGUCAAAAUAAGGAAGGAAGAGAGAGAUGGGAAUUGGGCCGUAAAAGGCCGCCACGGGAUCAACUAGGCUGGGCCGGACUUUGUAGCCCUGCCAAACAACGCCCGAAAGUGGUGGAUUAGUUAUUGACACGUAAUUUGGAAAAAGCAAUGUGAUCAUCCUCAUUUACUUUUGGAUUAAAAAAUGCUAAUGAAUUAUUCAAAUCGCAUCUCAUCAUCAAUAACAAAAAUUCACGCAUGCUUAAAUGGAGAUGAUGGGCCAAGCUUGAAUCCGACCAAGCCAUUUGCCAUCACCACCCAAGCUCUUAACGCUCGACCGAAUACAAAUACUCGACCAAGCCCCAAUUGGUGAGUUUUAUGCUAAACUCCUGUUAUAAGGUGCACACGUGCGUCAAUGAUACAGUAGGAAGAAAAAAAAGAGAUCUAAUGUCUUCUUUUUCUCUUUUAACAAAAUUAGACAAUUCACCCUGUUAAAAGGUAUAGCUUUGCUAUAUUAGGAAAAUCCCAUUUCUCUACUCGUGUACCUCUGCCGCAAGUGAUAAAACCUAAGCACAUUCAACAAUUGAAAGGCAAAAGAAUAAGACAGUUUACUCUUCCUUCCAAAUACAGUUUAAAAAACCCGGCAAGUAUAUGCUUUGCGAACACUUUUGGUUCCCACCUAUGUGACAAAUUGAGUGACUAAAGCUUUUGAGUGUUGAAAUAGUAGAACUUAUAUACUAAUUCUAGUCAACAAUUGCUUUUUCGGUCUUUUAAAAAACAGGACACAACAACUUUCCAUUGAUAAUUUACUAUCAUCUUUGGAAUGAUGGUUAUGCACUACUGAGCACAGGAAAUAGAAUGACCCCAAACCAGCUGCUCUUUCUUUGGUCCUUUGGUAGUUAUUCUAAAGGCACGAUGUGUAUUUGCACCAGUGGUCAUCAGAGUAGCAAACGAUGCAAACCAGAUUCCUUGUGCUAAAGUUUGGAAUGAAUUUCCUUAACUUGAGUAAGAGGGAACAUGAAUUAUCCAUAAGUAUGAACCAAAUGGGUUAAAUUUGAAAUAAAAAAACAAUCUGCUCACCUGAAGGCACCAACUACCAAUCAAAAGCUUGGUCACGUUCUGUAGCUUCUGAAGCAGUCCCUCAACCAGGUUGCAAUACCCUCUGUAAGACUCGAACCGAUUUUGAACAAAACAAUCAGUUGGCCUUCCCAAAUCCUUGCCCCUCAUAAAAAUGUUCGAAUUUGCUUCAAUCAAGGAUUGAGACUUCCGUUACCAGCUGCCUCAUCAUACCAGAAAAUCCUCUCAAACAGCAACAGAGGACUCGAAAUCUCCAAGGGAAAACCCUCAUCAAGUGCAUACCGAAAGCAGCUAUUGACCGCAAUUUCCCUCAAAGUUCUCGAACAAACCUUGAUGGUUCGCUUUAAACCGUAGCAUCCUUCCAAACUAAGGUACUCGAGAACAGGGCUGCCAUUCGACAUCUCGUGCAUCACCUCCGAGUCACAGAUGGACAGGGACCUAAGAUCAAUCCAAGUGAUACUUCUACUCAACGAGAAGCAACAGAGCCCCGAGUGCAGGUUCACCAAACGAAGAGCAUCCAUAAAAGGAGCAGCGGUACUGCGAAAUGGCCGGCCAUCUCGCACAACCUCGUAGUCACAUCGACUGAGAGGUCCUUGACGCGGCGGUCGACAGCAAAGCGAAGCCACGGACUGAGCUCAGGCGCGCAACGGUCGAGAAAAUCGGCGUCGACGUGGAACUUCCUCACCUUGGGCGACGCCUAGAGGAUCAAGACGCCGUCCACGGACGGGGAGGAGUUCCGCCAGGGGAGGGAGAGGACGAGGUCCGGGCCGGCGGUCCAGACGGAUCGCCACCGCUUCGACAAAAACGCACGUGCGGACAAUGCGUGCGAGGUCGAGGAACGAGAAGAUGUGAUGGAUCACCGAGUCGGGGGCAAGGUGGCUGGUGCGAUCGGCAUCGUCGCCUAGGGUUUCGCAUCGACGAGAGGAGGAGGAGGAGGAGGAGGAGGAGGUCGGCGAUCGCUUCGUCUUCGCCAUGUGGGGAUCGACGAUCGAAGGGAGGAACCGGAAGGAGAGCCUCCUCCGAUUUGAGGGUUCAUUUCACUCGGACUUAAGUUUCUGGCUUCCCGUAUAGAGACACGUGUCGCUCGAUGGAGAGGCAACCACUUUCCCGCGCCUUUUAAUACACCUACGAGCCCAUGAUGAUGGGCCUCGCACGUCUUGAAUUGCCGAGUACCGAACCCUAAUUUGUUUAAUCCGAGCUUGUCCGACAUCUGAAAAAAUCAUCAUUCACAUAAUAAUCGAGUAUGAACAAGAUCGAGUAGGCGUACAUAAGCAAGCUUGGCCGCGACCCUGGGCGAGGCCGAGCAGCCCUCGCCAGCUGUCGAGGCUGGCCUCGCCCAGAUCCAAGCGAAGUCGGCCGGCCAAAAUUGGCCGGAUGGACUGAAUUGUACUAAUAGUAAAAGGUUUAGGACUAAAUUGAUCCAAUUGAAAAGUUUAAGAUUGAAUUGGUACCAAUGCAAUAGGUUUAGAACUUUUUUGGCACUUUUCCCGGAUUGCGUCACAUGGCAUAAUUACACAAAACUCUGUUGGAAAAAGAAAAAGAAAACUAUCCUUUUUCUCAUCUUGGAAGGGGUCUUCUUUUUUUUCUUUUUUCUUUUUUUUUUCUUCUUUUUACAUUCAAGAGGGAGGCGCCACAAAUUAAAAAAAGAGGGGGAAAAGAGAGAAAAACAAGGAGGAUUGACUCUUCAUGAGCGCUGUGUAUACACCUUCACUGUCGCCCCAUCGUCAUCCGACCUCAUCCUUGUCACCGCAAGCUAUAUCCAUUGUUCUUGGACUUCAUUCUCUUGAGGAGUUGGAGCAAUAGUCGCCGCUGCCCAUUCCGACGACUGAGACCCACGCCAUUGCUUUGAUGAGCCUCGCCAUCACUCCUCUCGACACCAUUAGUUGUCAAGCCGCUUGCCCUUGCUGUUCCCGAGCCACUCUUUCCUGCUUCACUAUUGCUCCUUGCCUUCCCCAUCGUGAAAAUCGAAGAGCCCAGAUCUCGUCCGAAGACUCCCUCGUCGGUCGUUGUUUGGUUCAUAGACAGUUGUAAAGAUUCCAAUCGCCAGUUGCGAGUGCCUGCCGUAGCCUAGUUACACCACUAAUAAACCAGGCCUUCUUGCUACCUUCAACGACGGUCAUCAAUGAGGAGUUGCUCAAAACCCAACGGUCUGAGGGUUAAUUUUUAAGCUCGAAUAUUCCGAUUGGUUUAUCCGAUUGUAUCUCCGUUUUUGUUCCUUACUUUUUGUGGAUGCAAUGACCUGCGUAAUGGUUAGCCGAUAGUUGGAGCUGGGGGUUCAGUGAAGAGCAGGAAUGAGUAACGGGGUAUGGGAGUACUUUUGAGCGUAAGGUUUUGAAUGUUUCCUGCUGGUUCAGUGACGGUUUACAUGUUAAUCUGUAGGCAUGAAGAUUCACUACGAAAUUCAUUGAAGGUGGGAGUUUUGGGAAUAGGGAGCCAGGCCUCAAAGAUGAGGGAUGAAAAGGCUAAAGGAUUAUAUAUAUAUAUAUAUUUUUUUUUUCCAAAAGGAGUAAAUGAUGUCGUCGGGUGAGGCCAGUCUUUCCCUUUGUUCCUGUCGGUCCAACCCUCUCUUUUGCUAAUUGCUAAUUGCAAUGGGGAUUGGGCCCCACUUUAUCUACUUUUCAAGUUUUCAUCUGCCUUUUUCUUUUUCCUUCAUUCCUGUCUUUUUUUUUUUUUAAUAAUGUGCGGGGUUGCGAUUGAGUUGGGUUUGCAGGGGCGUACAUACCCAUCACUAACUUUAAUAGAAAAUUACAGGCUCCUAUUUCAGUUCAGUUACCGGCAUUUAUUGGAUUGUUUUGGAUAUUAUCGAUUGCGCCAUUGAGUUAGCCACAUUUAUUUUUUAAAGUUACUAACUCUUAUAGGAUAUUAUUACUCUUGAUUUGGGUAAAUUAGCAACUUUUCAAGGGGUAAGUCACUAACUUAUUUUAGCUUUACUAAGUUCUAAAUUACCAACCAUUUACUUGAUUUCUUUUUUCAAAAUUUUCACCGGUUUGAAUAAUUUUACUAUCAUUUAUUUAUAGUGGUUAUCGGCGUAGUAAAUUUACUAACCCUUGAAGUUACUAACUCUCAUAUGUGAGAUGUUAGUUUAUAUGAUUUUGUGCUAAUCGGCAUAAUCAUCAUCCACAUAGCAUGUUUUUAUUGAGCGCAAAAACACUCAAUUAACUCAAGGUCGUGAUUCGUUUUAUGAGUAAGUUUGUUGUGACAAAAGGGUGCCUCUACAGCCUAAAGUCAAGAUCUAAAAAGUUGAAGAGAAACUUUGGAUCCAAAGAGAGACCAACACAUUUUCAAAACAGAACAAUACCAAGGAUACAAAGAGUACCUUACAAAACUUAUUUGAAGUGAUAAAAUCCAAGUAUUUAGGCAAGUAUAUCACGAACACCUAACACAAAAAUAUUUCGCAUGUGACUUAGUAAACCAUUUUCAUUUACUUGGACAUAACAUCUUCAGCAUUACUCUACCAAAAAAUGGUGUUCAACUUAAAAAAAUGGCAGUCUAAAUGGAAAAAUAGUUGGUAAAAAAUAUAUAAACUAAUGAAUUCCCACAUCUAAGCACGUGAACAAAUUGUUGUGAACAGAGGCUCUCAUAACCAAGGUAAAGCAUCACAGAUGAGAUCAACAUUGACUCAAUUCACUAUCUUCCGAGCACCCACCGGUUAUUUUAUCUACUCAUUUUCUUCUAAUAACCGAGUUUUCAUUCUCAAUGUUAGCUUGUUGACAGUAAUAAUACCAUAGGAAAGCAGAGUUUCACUUACUACAUCGAGUCCAAGGAGUGGAAUUGGUAGUAUAAAUAAGUCUUAACUUCUCCUAGGCUCAAAUAGUGCUAUUAGCAGGUGAAAAGAGUUUAAUGUGAUUCAUUGAUACAAAGAUUGACUCUUGCAAUUAUGAGGGAUACAUGCACAAAAUGUGAGAAACUUUCCAGCCUUUAUCAAAUCUCUCCUUGCAAGGAACGCCUAACCAGUACAAGAAGAGUAGCUGGAAGUAAUAUUACACCGUGAGAGUCACAAACAAAAAUCAAAGGAAAACUAUAUAGAUGCAUGAUGACAUUGAGAUGGUAUUGCAGGGGUUAAACCUACCGACUCCAUGUGAGCAUCUAGCAUUUCUGCAUUUGACAUAGCUAGUCUAUCUAACAUAAAUGACAUCCCCUCCGAUUCAAGUUCUUUAUCUUUGUGAACACUUUGACUGGCGUACCAAAAAGGGCAGCAAGGUGGCAAUACAGGAGUAGGGUACACUUCCAGUUGGUCUAGAUGAUUGUCAGUUAUGUUUUGGAAAUCUCCUAAGGCAACAAUCUCGUCUAGAAGUUUAUAGGAAUCUAUCGCGAGUGUAAAUAAAAAUCCCUUCAUUCAACUAAUAUCAGCUCAAAAUUCUUUACUUGCAACUACGUCAUAUCCAAAUUUUCACUCCCAUUACCAUCAUUCACUCUUCAUUCUUGUGUAAAACACAACUCCUCAGUUCAACGUCAUGUUCUCAUUUAGACUUUCAAGCACCUUACCCCUAUAUUCACCAACUCUCCAUCAAACGCAAUUUGAAUGGGGUUGGCAAUUGAAGUGGUUUAUUUGAGGAAAAGGAUCGUAGCACAUUUAAGGAAAAGCAAAGGGAGACUAAGGCCAAUGACUCAAAGGGCACAUACCAAGCCAUUGUUGAAGAAACGAACACACUGAAUAACAAAAAAGGAGAACUCUCUCUAGUCGAAGCAAUUACCAGGAGAGAUUGUCCACAGCCUUUGCCAAUUGAAGCGAUGAAGCACCACCUUUGAGUCCUCCAUGACCAUCACCAGCAAAUCCUUCUACGGAUUCCACUCCGCCAUCUUCACCUGCCAAUUGGAAGAAACCGAGCAAAAACCUCACGAAACCGAAUGCGAAAACAAUUGAGUCGACCCGCCCAUUAUUUUGACGCAAAAGAAGGCGGACCGGAGCCAAACCUGAGAAUGAUCCUGUGCCAAUCAUAUUUAAACUUAAGAAUAGCUUGUAAAGUGGAAACUUAGUACGGUGCAUGCAUAAGAUUAAAUCAGUUCCACCACCCAGCCAAUGAGAUAUACUUGUUACUGACACUAGCAAGUUUAUCAAACGAUGAUACAAAUAGGAAAGACUAUGGGCAACAAUAAGUUACCAAACGUCCAAACUGCAAAUGGACAUGGUAAGAAACUCAAGGAAAAUAGUUUUUUGAGUAUAUGAUUGAUGGCAUGGCAAUGAAUUGAUCCUUAGCUCGAUUGUGUGGGCAGUGUGAAAAAUUGUUACCACUAAUUGACUAGGGGGGAUUGCAGUAUGGUUCUCAUUCUCCAUCUCUAGGUGUAAAAUAAAGUCCUAGAUGUGUAAUUUCCCUGGGUUAGUGUUUCAAAAGUGAGAAUAAGACAACCAAGAAAUAGUGUUCUCAUAAAAUAGAAGCAAAAGUGGCACUACUAAUACAUUAGGGUCAUCAACUGCACAUUUCUGAACAUACAUACGAGGCUCCAACUGUGGAGAUAUGCUGGAGCUUUUGAAGCUAUGGUAAGUGAGAAAGUGAAACAUCCUUUAAUAUUGCACGCAUAUACUGGCAUGUAUAUGCACAUAGGAGGAAAAACUAAGCUGCUGCCACUUGUGCUGAUGAGGAGAGCAAAUACAUAGUAAAUAGGAAGAACAAAAGAACAAAAGUUUAUAAAACUAGACUAGUGGUUCAACCAGUCAAACUUGAGAAUCGUACUCUACCAGUUCAACCAGUUGAACCGAUUGCAUGUGACGUUAUCUAGUAGAAUAUGCAUGUUCAGAACAAAAGAAGCCCUGGUCACUCGGCAGACCUACUUGAGCACAAAAGAUUGGAUUACGGUUCUCAAAAGCAUUGUUUUAAUUUCUAAUAGACUAAGCCAAUAUAGUCAAUAAAUAAAUUAUCCGCCACAAAAAGAAGCAAAAGGACACGCGGAGCAAAUGGUUGGCAUGCCUGUUAGUAACAAGAGAUUGGAGUUCCAAACCCCAACCCAUUUUCUCGAGAGAGAUAUCUACAACUCAUCUAAAGGAAUUACUUUUGAGAAAGAAAUCCACGUACUUUCUAAUGGUAUGGAGAAUACAAUAUAUAUGUGUCAUGGUUCAUUUUGUACUUAGAGGAAGUCGCUAGAUCUCUUAUAAUGAUUUAAAAUAAUUGAUUUAGAGGGACAAAUUGUAAAAAUAGUAGCCACUGUGACGCAUGAUGAAGAGUUGAAGACGCUUUAGAGUUGAUUCCCCAUGUGGUGUGCCGCAGUACCAUAUCGAAUAGCAGUUGCCCAAUGUACUUCAUAUUCUACAAAGCAUGCCGAGGUGAUGGAUAGGAAGAUGUCGAAUGGAUCGGAGAUAUCGGUCAAGAUCAUCAAACUUAUAAGCACGAUAACCCAAACAGAGGGAGUUCGACAUACGAAAGUUGCGUAUAUGUGUUUAACCAAAUCAAAAUGGGGACUUCCAUUAUUAUUCCGUCUCAGGAAAAUUGUCCAAAAAGCCCUAAACCUAUCACACUUUUUGUCAAUUCCAUCGUAAACUUUUCAAUUUUGCUAAUUGAGUCCUAAACUUUUUCAUCUUUUGCCAAGUUCAUACAGUUAAUUUUGGCCGGAAUUUGCUAAUGUGGAUGGUUGGUACUGACAUGGCACUUUUUAAAUGAUAUUUUAAUAAUAUUUUGAAAAUUUUUAUGGUCUUUUUUUUUUCUUUUAUUACAUUUUUUGCUUUUAUUUUUGGGUUUUGGAGUUAGGUUGGUGAGGGUGGCCGACUGACCUAGGUCGAGGGCUUGCACGCCCUCGCUUUGGCCAGCAAGGGCGUCAUGACCUCGCCAGCAUAACUCCACCCCCCCCCCCCCAAAAAAAAACCAUAAAAAAUUCAAAAUAUUAUCAAAAUAUUAUUAAAAAAAGUGACACUUCAAUGCCGAUCAUCCACGUUAGUAAAUUUCAGUCAAAAUUGACUAGAUAGGCUCAAUUGGGAAAAUAUAAAAAGGUUUACGACUCAACUAGCAUAAAUGAAAGGUUUAAAAUUGAAUUAACAAAAAUUCAAUAAGUUUAUGACUUUUUGAACAAUUUUCCCCUCCCUCUCUCUCAUAGGCACACUAUGCUUGUGGAACUAUUCUGAGUUCAAGAUGAAACACAUUAUAAGAUUAGAGUGUAUAUCGUAGUCAAUUCCAAGGGAUUACAAUGGGCAUAGACCACGGAAUUUGCCAAAGUCACUUGCCCUCACCGUGGCAAAAGGAAAAGGGAAAAAAAUCAGAAAAAUUAAUAAAAAAUUGUAAACAUUAUCCACGUUGGCAAUCUCUGCUCAAAAUUUGACUAGGUGGAUUACGUUGGUAAAUCCUCCAAAGGUUUAGAACUCAAUUAGCCAAAUUUAAAAGUUUAUGAUUGAAUUGAUGCAAACACAAUAGGCUUAAUACUUUCUUGGUAAUUUUUCCUAAUAUUGUGUGCCGAACAUUCAAUACUCAUUUGGCUUGAAAGGAUGUCAAGUGUUUCCACACUUUGAAUAGCUAAAACUCACUUUCACUUAGGUGAUGCCAAGUGGAUAUUGACAGUAUAUUUUUACCACUAAGUAGAUAUGAAAAGAUGUAAUAAGCACAUGGCAACAUGUUUCUGUAUGCAUUUUUAUCAAUAAGUGACAAGAAAAUCACAUUAGAAAAGAAGAUUGGUUGGUUAAACUAAUAUGAGGGCACAUUAGGUACUCGUCUGUAUUUGACCCCAUCAUCAUUAAUAAAGUUAUUCUUUUGUGUAUAGAUCAGCUUUGUUGUCUUCUUAAGUGACUAAUUUUCCGAUUAGAGUCCCAUGUAUUAAGUCUUGCCAGUUUGCCGCUAUCCACAGGCAGUAAAGCUAUUUUUGGGAACACACACUAUUGAGACAUGAUGCUAAAUUACCUUGAUAUUCUCUUAUCAUUCGGACGGUUAGUAUUAUAAUGAUGUUGAGUUACAAAUGAUCAUUAGUUCUAUUAUUACAGAGAAUAGUGGCAGAAGUAAAUUUUAUGAGGCUCUACAAUGGCUAUAAAUAGAAGGUUUAGCCAAAGGUGUCUGGUGCGAUAGACACAAGUUAUCUUCUUCGACAAUUCCUAUGAAUAGUAAAGCAUCUUCCUUAGCCGUACUUCUUUUCCUAGCCUUCUCUUCUUAUUCUCUCGGUCCUCGAAACUUUUGACGACAAUUUCUCCAAAAUGAGCUUGUGUAAAACGGGUCAUGGAAUUUAAUGUUUACAUGGGAUUUGCACUGGCAGCGGACCAAUUAACGAUCAUUUAUUUUGUUGAUAAUGUUAUUGUCCCAUCUUAUAAUUAAUGUUAAAUGUCACUAUUUCUGCACUUGCAUUAGGAAGAAUACAUUGAAGACGUGAAGAUAUGGAAGAGCUAUAAACAAAGGAGGAGUUAAUUUUAGGGUAAAUUCAGCUGAAGUUCCCAAAGAGCUAUCAUCACAACAAAUAAUAAACAUAAGAAAAGAAGUAUCACAAAUGCACAUGUUACAUUCAUGCAUACUUUCUUCUGGAGAUUGGCAAUAAUUCCGAGAGAAAGAAUGCUACAAUUAAAAAAUUAUUGAUUCCUGAAUGUACAUAAUUGAAUUAAAAGACUCCAUGAUGCCCUUUAUUAAGGAUACAAAGUUUAUUCAUGAUGCUGUAGACAGAAUCUCAUUAUCUUAAACCUACCAUCUAUUUGAGGGCUCCAAAUAUUUGAGAUCGAAAUAUAGCCUAUGUUCUUUACUGCCAAAUUGAAACCAUAUAUCUGGCUAGUCAUGUUACCCGCAAAAUUGUAUUAUCUACACCGGAUUGCAUGCGUCACUUAACAAUGACACGUGGAGAGGAGCAAGUCGAUUUCGCGUAAGAGAUCUCAACAUUCAAAUGCAGAGUUCGUUAGUCAAGUACACUGCCCGAACCAUUCAGCCCAAAGUGUAGAUAAUCCAAACCAAACAAUUGGUUCUCUUACACAUGAAAAUAGUGAACAUAUACAGAUGAAGCAAAAGCUUGGCACUAUCGAGCAGGUCUCAAAGCUUACAGCAAUACCAUGACAAUAGUUACCAUUAGAUAGAAGCCGUGAUUCAGCAUCUUUUGGUCAAUUCCAUCCCACUCGAUAGAUAAAUCGCUACAUUUUACUCCACUUUUUUUUUUUUAUCGACAAAUACCCACCUAGCAGAAAAGGCACAUGGCAGGUAUGGAUUAAGACUUCUCCAGAAAGGGUGAAGUCGAAGAGCAUCAGUCAUUAAGCCCACAUGCAUUGCUUCUCACACCAAUGUUUGUAGCUCCAAGUAUGAGAGGUCCACCCACAGCAGCAACAUAAGCAUAACCACCACAAACUCUUGAACAGACAGUCAUUCCGAAUAAGAGAUAUCUUCUUCAUACUCCUCCAGUAUGUAGAUCAGGGCCCACUUUCUUGCAGCUAAAACACAAGCCACACCUCUACCUCCCAUUGCCAAAAAAAAAAGAUCAACUUCAUUUCAGUCCAGUGUUCCUUGAAUGUAUGGCCAUAACUAACAUGAUGUUUAGAUACCUUUGUUGGGUAAAAGUAAAAUUACAACACAUGCAUUAUGCUAAAACACAGGCAGGAAGCAAACUUUGUUUGCCUAAAGAGGCUACAGCAUGCAUAUAACUAUGAAUGCUCCACAGUAUCUUGCUACACUAGAUGCCAUGAUAGUAUCUAUCUUGCUACACUAGAUGCCAUGAUAGUAUCUAUGGUCAUGGACUUGUAAAUAGUGGUUCUCAGUCAGUCAGUAAGUAACUCAAGACUGCUAUGCACCUACCAUGAGAGAAUGAUUAUUCAUUUUGUAUUUGUCUGGUGACUAUUAAGUCAUUUAGCACUUUCUCCUCUCAAUUGAUUUAAAAUUUAGGGGAAAACUAAUACUUCACUUUUUUUACUUCUUCAACUAAAAAAUAUUCUUCUUUGGAGCAUAUUUUUGCACUUCUUCAAUCUAUAGGGACAAACAUGAAGUGGUAUGUUAAAGAGGCACAAUGUACCUAUGCCAGUCACAUUUGAACUUAAUAGAAGGUUCUAAGUGGAAAUGUAGUAAGGAGCAUGGACAGGAUUAAUUCAAUUCCAAUACCCAGCCAACGAGAUAAAUUUGUACGACACUGGCAAGUUUAUCAAACAUUGAUCACUAAGUAAAGAGUAUGGGCGACAAUAAGUUUCCAGACAUCUAAAACUGCAAAUGGACAUGGCAAGAAGCCCAAAAAAAAAAAAAAACCUUCAGAACUAUACAAUUGUUGGCGUAGCAAUGAAUUGAUCCUUAGCUUGAUGGUAUGACAAUGUCAAAAUGUUCUUACCACCAAUUGACAAGGGAGAACUACAGGACGGGGAAUGCUACGAAGCUUCUCAUUCUCCAUCUCCAGGCAUAAGAUAUGGUCCUAGAUGUGCAAUUUCACGGGAUUAGUGUUUCAGAAGUGAGAAUAAUACAAUCGAGCAAAAAUAUCCUAACAAAAUAGAAGCAAAAAGGGCACUACUAAACCAUUAGGGCCAUCAAAGGCACANNNNNNNNNNNNNNNNNNNNNNNNNNNNNNNNNNNNNNNNNNNNNNNNNNNNNNNNNNNNNNNNNNNNNNNNNNNNNNNNNNNNNNNNNNNNNNNNNNNNNNNNNNNNNNNNNNNNNNNNNNNNNNNNNNNNNNNNNNNNNNNNNNNNNNNNNNNNNNNNNNNNNNNNNNNNNNNNNNNNNNNNNNNNNNNNNNNNNNNNNNNNNNNNNNNNNNNNAAAACCAGACCACUGGGUUCAACCUAUCAAAGUGGUAGAACCAUGUUCUUCCAGUUCAACCGACUGAACCAAUUGCAUGUGAUGUCAUCUGAUAGAACACUUUGCAUAUAUUAGAUUACACACUUUGAGAACAAAAGAAGCACAGUGAGUCGGCAUACAUCGUAGCAUCUUAAUAGAUUACACAUGCUUGAUGUCAUCUUAAUAGCAUCCUGUUCAAUUUUAGAUUAGGCCAAUAUGGUUGAUAAAUAAAUUAUCCACCACGAAUUGUAGCAAGAAGACACUAGAGCAAAUGGUUGGCACACUUGUUAGUUACAAGAGGUUGGAGUGCCAAACCCCAACCCAAUUCCAACACUACUCCUUUGAACUUUUUUACGGCCCAGAGCUGGUCCAGACUAGUUGACAGGUUUGCUAGGUAUCAGUUGACAGGUACACCUGGUUACCAGUUGAACAAGGUCAAUACCACCAGUUCUUGAUCAAUAUUAUUUUUGCUCGGAAACCAGACUGGACUGGUCUGGUGCCCAGUCCAACCAGAGCCACUUCUUAAAACUCUGACAUGAACAGGAGUCGACAGAAAAGCACGAUAUGCUACUUUUUCCCUUUUGCCAUCAAUGCCUUAAAUAGUGAAUUGAUAUGAUCGGAAUAUAACUCUAGAUAUCAAGAGUAAGAAAUCAAUAUGCAAGCUCCAGAUCCAUGAGUUACCUUCAACUAGUACAAACCUCAGUUAUUUGCACACGUGGUUCCUACAAUAUGCACAAAUGGUAGGUCACUAGCCUACAGUCAUCUCAGCAUCUCCCCAGUUUUCACCUGUGUCAUUCAUCUUAUUUAACAACAUUAUAAUUUGAUGUUCUUGCUUCCAACAGAACAUAUUAGCCAUACUUGCAAAUUUAGGCCACAAAAUAUGAUAUACAAAGCUUUUACCUCAGAUAGAGUCUAAUCCACACAACAGUGACCAAGAGGGAUGCACAACAAGAUCCUUCCAAAGAUCUUCCCUUCUUCACAUUGCUUGAAUCAUUCAUAAGUCCACUCACUACCGCUAUGCGAUUUGUUACAUCUAAAAAAGACUCCUCAUGUAUUUGGAAGGAAAUAUAAUCUGAAGCAAAUUCAAAGUCAUCCUGCAAUACCAUAUAUAGUAAUGAUUAGCAUGAAAAAGCAGUUGGACUCCGCACAUGUGGAUCUCUGGAUAAUAUUUGUAGUUUUAGAUUAAAGGUAUAUACUCCAUAAAAGGACAGUGAAUUGGGAAUAUAUUUGGUGGAUGCUAAAACUAACAUAAGAGGGAAUUGUAGCAAUAAAUUCUUACAAAGAAUAUUUUUCAAAAUAGAAGAGAAAGGCAUAUGGGCAGCUUCCUUGAAAAUGUGAUUAUCAAAUUAGUUUCAAAUCAGGAAACAUGAGAUACAGUAUUUCCAUACACAAGGAUCAUAAGUUAAACACAGAGCCCAAUCCGAUAAAAUCGCCCAACUAAAGCUUCCAUGUACAUUGUUAAGUAAUCAAACAUCAAAUACGAAAAACUAGAUUAUUAGACAAAGGGUAAGUGAAAAACCAUUGUUGAGGACAACCUCCAGAAGACAACCCCCAAGGGUUUCCUUUUCUUUCUCUCCUUCUCCAUUAUAGUCUCAAGGUUCUGGCCACUAAGACAAGGAAAUGAAAAAUAUAGGACAACUUUAUGGUAAUAGGCAUAUGGAUAGAAAUAUCGACAAACCCAUUAACAGAAGUCCUGAAUUAGCCAAACGAGAAAUGAAUAUUUCAGUUCAAAAAAUUGAUGAGUCGGGUAAAACCAAAAGCACAAACUUUUAAUUAAAGGAUUGCAAUAUUUACAUAAAACCAAACUCAAACUCCUGUUACACACACAGAGAUCUAGAAUUUCACAUUUGGUGCACAUAUCAGCAAUGAGGACCAGAUUUGAAGGGGGGAAAAGCUGCUCAAUAGGGAGUUCGUGGCAAAACAAGUUUUCCUCAGAAAUCGACUUGGAAAGUGAGAAUUCCAAUUAGAGUUUCUCUUUUUGCUUGGGAAGCAACCUGGGAACAACUCCUUACUUUAUAAAUGAGACAAAAUACUGGUUAAUAGGUGUUUCCUCAUCAAAAGGAGGCAGAGUCCGCACGGCAUCCCCUCCUUCAUUGUUCUUGGAAAGAAUGGUUUGGACAGUUUCCUAUGCUUGUGCCAUGUUAUCUUGGGUAUCAGAGGUUUUAUUGAGCAGAACUUUGGGCAUGACAGGGCAUUCGUUUACNNNNNNNNNNNNNNNNNNNNNNNNNNNNNNNNNNNNNNNNNNNNNNNNNNNNNNNNNNNNNNNNNNNNNNNNNNNNNNNNNNNNNNNNNNNNNNNNNNNNNNNNNNNNNNNNNNNNNNNNNNNNNNNNNNNNNNNNNNNNNNNNNNNNNNNNNNNNNNNNNNNNNNNNNNNNNNNNNNNNNNNNNNNNNNNNNNNNNNNNNNNNNNNNNNNNNNNNNNNNNNNNNNNNNNNNNNNNNNNNNNNNNNNNNNNNNNNNNNNNNNNNNNNNNNNNNNNNNNNNNNNNNNNNNNNNNNNNNNNNNNNNNNNNNNNNNNNNNNNNNNNNNNNNNNNNNNNNNNNNNNNNNNNNNNNNNNNNNNNNNNNNNNNNNNNNNNNNNNNNNNNNNNNNNNNNNNNNNNNNNNNNNNNNNNNNNNNNNNNNNNNNNNNNNNNNNNNNNNNNNNNNNNNNNNNNNNNNNNNNNNNNNNNNNNNNNNNNNNNNNNNNNNNNNNNNNNNNNNNNNNNNNNNNNNNNNNNNNNNNNNNNNNNNNNNNNNNNNNNNNNNNNNNNNNNNNNNNNNNNNNNNNNNNNNNNNNNNNNNNNNNNNNNNNNNNNNNAAUGCGUCAGUAGUCUCAAACACCUAAUAUGAAUCUAUCUGGCAUGCAACUUAGUAAAACCAAUUUCAAUACUAGGAGUUGACAUCCUCAGCAUUGGUCUGCCAAAAAAGAGGUGGUAUAUCAAAUAUCAUGAUCUAAAGAUAAAAAUAAUAAUACAAAAUAAUCAAUUCUCACAUCUAAGUACUAAACAAAUGAUUAAGAACAGAGGCUCUCAUAACCAUGGUUAAGCAUCACAGAUUAGAUCCAUGUAAGGCUCGAUUCACUGUCAUCCGAGCACCCACCAGUUAGUUUUCUGCUCAUUUUCUUUGAAGAUCUGAGUUUUCAUUCUCAUCCUUAGCUUGUUGACCAUAAACAUAACACAGAAAAGAAGAGUUUCACUAACUACACUGAGUUCAAUGGGUGGAAUUUGGCAAUAUAAAUAAGUCUAACUUCCCCCAGGCUCUAAUAGUAAUAUCGAUGGGUACAAAGCUUUGAAUAUGAUUAUUUGAACAACAAUUGACUCUCGCAAUUGUCACGGCACAUAUGCUAAUAUUGAAGUGGGCAAUAAACUCUUUCCUUUUAAAUUGAGAACAUAUCUCUACACGUGCUAAUUAUAAUGUGAAUGUAUAAACAUUCUAUAUCCAAAUCUCCAUGUACAGUACACUCAAAGCUCAAACUUAGAUCAAGUUCAAGUUCAAAACAAUGAUUAAUGACCUAAAAUUUCCAUUAUACGCUUAUAGGAGAUAUUGCCAACUUAUUGAAUCAGUCUCAAAUCAGAUUUUACUUGAUCCUUUCCAGUCACUUAAUAUUAAUAAUUCAUAUCAUUGCAUACAAUAUGAUUGUAUGAAGAAUCAACAUCAGGAUGUUUUGAAAAAUAUGGCUUGUCUCAAGAUGUGCAGAAGAAUAAUUUCCUGUAGCAAAUUCCUAUCUCUAUCCGAUCACCUCCAAGACUGUUCACUGAGAUGCAUGAAGGAAAAAGGCCAGAUGCAAAGAUAAUAACACACACCCGUAGAUGAUUGAGGAUAACCAGCAGAAGUUCUUUUCCAGCACCACAAACAACUUGUGAUACACACUUCAUACCCUAUCACUGGACAAACUAGCAGACUGAGAUUAUAAAAACCAACCAAAAAAGCCAAGGUCCUAUAGCAGCACCAGAGCUUAAAAAAUUAGCCAUACCACUUCAUCCAGAGAAUUAACACGAAACUGAUAGAUUGGAAAAUUCCUCCUAAGGGAAAGAGUCAAGACCUAGAUAGCAAACAAAAAUUGUUAAAUGAAGAAAAAUGAAAUGCCAUCUACCGCUCUGAAUUAACAGUAUCACUUGCCAUGGUCACUAACAAGGUUUGACAGCAAAUCAAACUUCCUCAUGAAAUAUGUUAAAUGGCGUCAACCCACUGCUUAUGCAUUACAUAUAAUGAUGCCUGGAUGACAUGAAAUAUUCUUCAAUGUUCAAAGCUUGUUAAGCAACUUGAUGAAGUCCAUUUUUUUCUGCAGACAGAAAGAGAUUGGUAAUCUAAGGAGGCAUUUGGCUGAUAAAGAUUCUCAAAAGUCUGUUCUGAUUUCAAUUUGAGAAUUAAAACAGACCAGAAAAUGCGUUUGGUAACACUCCGAAAGCAGUCGACGAAUAAAAGGAAAACUAUUCUCAUAAUCAAAAUCACAAACUGAAGAUGACUUCUGUAUUCCCAUUCCAAAUGCAAACAUGGAGAUUUGGAAUAAAUAAGCCUGUUUUUGGAAUGUGAUGUAACCCAAGCAUAUUCUCACAAUUUUCAUCCCUAAUGACAUUAUGUUCACUAAACAAAUAUUUUGUCAACAAAACAUGGAAAACAGUUUCUACAAAAAUGGAAACUAAAGCUGUUUUCUAAAACUAAGCAGGCCUUAAGCAGUCGAGAACAAAAAUGAUGCGUGACUCAUGCGACAAUGUUUAAAACUUUGCAACAAAUUUGCCUCACAACUUUCGACAUCCGAACUACAUAGAUUUUUAGGGACAUUUUACUGAAAGAUAGACGAUACUUAUAGGUUAAGUAGAAAUUUGAAGCAUGAACAAGAUAAUUUAGGCUUCCAAGUAUGAGGCAUCAUGUUGUUCAGCUGAUGGCAACUCUUGAAAGUCUACUCGAGCAUUAAAAAUUAUCAGCAGGGAAGUUCUUCCAUAAUGUAAAGUUUAAAGUUAUUUCUAAGAAAACUGCCUCGAAAUUGCUCUACCUUAACUAUCCAUUUCUUUUAAAGGACGAUGAUAAUAUCCUGAGUUACUUUGCGUUUUACUUUCCUUCUGACCAAACAAAAUUAGAUACCGCCGAAACAAAUAUCAGUGCACCUAAACAACCAUAAUACAAUCGUAAUAUCAAGUACAAUCACCACCACAUAAACUAGAACAGAAUCUAGAUUUCCACUCGGAACCUUCAUUCACACUAGGUUUUUUCUGUAAAAUGCCAACUCCUCAGUUCAAAAUCAUGUUCUCGAUUAAGACAUUCAAGUACUUCACGCACUAAAUAGAAAAAAGAGAGAGCUUUCUCAAUUUGAAGCAAUUACAAGGAGAGACUGUCCCCAGCAAUAGAGGUCCACCCACAGUAGACAUUCGUUCUGAAUCUGAGAUUUCAUCUUCAUCCUCGUCCAAGUACGUAGACCAGGGCCAGCUUUCUUGCAACCAAAACACAAGCCACAACUCUGCUUGCUGUAGCCAAAAAUAAAUAACUCAACUUGAUUUCACUCCGAUGUUCCUAUAAUAUGGCCAUAACUAAUGUGAUGUUUUGAUACCUCUGUUGGGUAAAAGUAAUAAGUACAAUACUUGCAUCACGCUAAAACAUAGAUGGAAACAAUACUUGUGUACUGAAGAGGCUAUCGUAUGCAUGUGAACCAUGAAUGCUCUACAGUAUCUUUCUACACUAAAGACCCUGAUAGUGUCUAUCAUCAUGAACAUGUACAUACUAGUUCUCAGUCAGUAACUCAAACUGCAAUGAACCUACCAUAAGAAUAUAAUUAUUCUUUCUGUAUAUGUCUGGCCACUAAAGAUUCAUCUUUUUCGCACUUUGACCUCCCAAUUGAUCUAAAAUUUACAGGAAAACCUAAUAGUUCAAUAUUGUACUUCUUGAAACGAAAAAGAUAUUCUUAGGAGCAUAAAUUUGCACAUUUUCAACCAUCGGAACAAGCAUGAAAUUGUCCAUUAAAGAGGCACAACAUACCUAUGCCAGUCAUAUUUAAACUUGAGAGUAGAUUGUAAAAGUGGAAACUUAGUAAGGAGCAUGGACAGGAUAAUUCCAGCUCCACCACUUAUUCAAUGAAAUAAAUUUGUUACUAAUACUGGCGAGUUUAUCAAACAAUGAUACAAAAGGAAAGACUAUGGGCAACAACAAGUUUCCAAAAAUCCAAACUGCAAAUGGACAUGGUAAGAAGCUCAAGGAAAAUAGUUUUCAGAGUAUACAAUUGAUGGCAUCACAAUGAGUUGAUCCUUAGCUCGAUUGUAUGGCGGUGUAAAGAAAUUUUACCACUACCAAGGAGGAACUACAGUAUGGGGAAUGCAGCAAAUCUUCCCAUUCUCCAUCUCUAGGUGUAAGAUAGAGUCCAAGAUGUGUAUUUUCACUGGGUUAGUGUUUUGGAAGUGAGAAUGAGACAACCAAGCAAAAGUGUUCUCACAAAAUAGAAGCAAAAGUGGCACUACUAACCCAUUAGGGCAUCUAACAUCAUCAGCCACAGAAGCUUUGAUCAAAUUAACAUAGUGAAUUCAACUCAAGUUGCUUGCUUUUGUGGGACACAGUAUGAUUCUUUUCCUUAUCAUUACAUGAUAUUCAUGCAUUAGAAUUAAUGCAAGGCAGUUUUCAAAUGGCGUAUAGGAUAUCGAAAAGUUUCCUCAGGAAACUUAUACAGAUGCCUCUUGUCUUUUACUUUUCAGCAAGUAAAUGAACUAACAAGAGCUUAUGCACAAUAUAAGGAAUUUAUUUUACAGUACAGACGAUUAUGUCAAAGGACAUUGUAGUAAUGUCUUGCUUAGCUCAAAAGUUCAAGUAUAUGAUAGAUGGCUUUACCAACUCUACAAACAUCAAGAUGCAUUCUCUGGGAUAUCUAUUAUUAGCCUUGGAGUAGGUAUCUUCUGGAUUCAAACCAAAUGAACAAGGAUCCAUAGUCAAUAAAAUUCGAAUUGCAAUUUUCUAGAUCGAUCCAAAUAAUUCACAAUGCUUUUGCUUCUUCCCUGUUUAUUAAUUCACUCACAGCCACACCACUAGAAGAAGAGCUUGUUCUUGCAUUUAGCAUUUCUAAACUGAUACGGUUACUUUAAUCAGCCAAUGCAGACAGUUCUGUGAAAUAAAAUGUGUGGAACUCCAUGGUUGAUGCCAAGGGAUGCCCUGUCAACAUGCUCCAUUUGCACCGUAAAUUCACUCUUAAGCAUAACUUAGAAACAUGCAGUCAUGAGCUACAUGGUAAGGGCAGAGCAAACUAAAACCUCAAUUAGGAGGACCACCCUAUAGGGUCCUUCAUUUUUCAUUUCUCGACCUACAUAAUGACCUUUGGCAUGCUAUCAGAUACCUGUAUACAUCAGUUUUUAUGCACUACUUCCAGCAUUCCCAGAAUCAAUCAAACAUUGAGAAUCUUUAUUUUCUGCAUAGGAUGAAGGAUCUUACCUGAAAACUAAUGACAAAUGAUGCACUUAGAAAGCCUUUUCCAUCUAUAUCCCUUACUGGCAUGAUAAGCAAAAUCUUGUUGCCAAAGCACCCGACAAUUUCCAUGGAUAUCUCCCCUCAAUUCCUUGAAUUCAAGUAAGGAGACAAUGAUGACAUUGUCAGCUAGGAAAUAAUAUUGAGAAGAUCAUAAAUCUUGAAAGAUAUUGGGAGCAGAAAAUACAAAUGAAAAUUGGAUAGUACAUCUCAAAAGAACAAAGGUAACUUACCUGCUCUAUGUACCUUUGACAGUAAAUGAGGAUUACUUCCAUUAUAUUGACUCAUCCGAGUCAUCUGUAUUGUCUGAUACAUAUCAUAUCAUUUUGCUAUUUGUAAUCUCAUCUGAUCGAUAAAUCUGAGUUCCAGAUAAUUCUGGAAUUGUUUUGAGUGACUCACAUCCGAUGAUAUGCAGUUCCUGCAACUUUAACCUAUCAAGGCCUUGAAUAUCGACCAAGCUUACGCAUACACUAGCUUGUAAUUUCUUUAGCCUCCCGGAUUUUGGAAGGUCUAGCCUUUCCAUUGAAGUGCACCCACAGAUAUCUAGCCUUUCCAAAUACUCCAACCUAUCAAGGCCUUCAAUUUCGGCUAAGUUUUCACAAUAUGUAGCUUCUAAUAUCUUCAGCCUCCCGGAUUUUGGAAGGUCUAGCCUUUCAAGUGAAUCGCAACCGUUGAUAUCUAGCAAUUCCAAGUACUCCAACCUAUCAAGGCCUUGAAUUUCGGCUAAUUUUUCGCAGCUUGCAACACUCAAUUCCUUCAGACCCUCGAGUUUUGGAAGGUCCACCUGUUUGAUUGAAUCGCAAAAUGUGAUAUCCAAGCUUUCCAAAUAUAUCAAUUUGUCAAGACCUCGAAUUUCAAGUAGAUUGUCGCAUUCAUAGACCACUAAUGUCCUUAGAUGGACAAACUGUGAAACGUCUAGCAUUUCGAUAGAUCCACAGCUAUUGACUUCCAAGGAUUCGAACUUGAAGGGUGUGUUUAGGGAUUGUGGUGAAUCCAUUUCUUCAAUGUCCAUCGGUUGGGAGCAUUCUGAACUCUUUAAUUGCGUUGAUGGAAGCUCCUGGAUGCACUGGAUAAAUUCACAACGCUCAACUUGUACAACCUUGAGAUGGGCUAGGUGGGAAAGUGAAGGCAAUUUACGACUUUGACAGGUGACGCCCAAAUCUGUUAAGCCGGAAGGAAGGUCCGGCAGCGAUUGGAGCUUGUUGCAGUAUCUAAAAUCAAGGUGUCGUAGGGAAGAAAGAUUAGCCAUGCUUUCUACUAGUAUCCCUUUCAGAUUCAUGCACCAGUCAGCACGUAACUCUCGGAGCUUUCUCAGACUCCCAAUACCAUUGGGUAAUUCUUCUAUACCACUUUCAGAAAUAUCUAGAAUCUCUAGAUUCUCCAAAGACCCUAUGCUAUUUGGUAAUGCAUAAAGGGAUGUAGUACCGGAUAGAUCGAGUUGCUGCAGUGCUUUUAAUUUACCUAUCUCUGCUGGAAGCUCCCUGAGGUAGAAACAACAAAUGGGGCGUUUGGCGCCUAACCUGAGACGAAGCGCGCGGGGCCAGCCCAGCUCCAAUCGAAGGAGGCCCUCCAUUUUUUCAAUGGAAGCGUCAAUUCGCUUCAGUCUCUCACACCCAGUGAGGAUGAGAACCUCUAACUUCUCAAAAGCUGAGAGGAAGUCAGUAUUUUCCAAGGAUUGACAAUACGAAAGGUCUAGAUAUUUAAGCUUCUCUGCCAUCUAAAAAAAAAAAAAGAAAAACCAAUAAUGAUUGUCGAUGGGUAAGUGUAGAGUCAUUAUGAUUCAAAAGAAAGCAUAAAAGGAGAGGAAAAAAAAGACUUUAAUUCUUACCUUGAAAAAACUCCAUCCUCCCCAUUUCUCAUUUAUCUUACUCCCUUGCAAUUCGAGUACAGCUAAUUCCUUUACAUCAAAAUUGUUUACUUCAAAACUUGCGGGACAAUUUCGCCAUUGAAGCCAUUUUAACCCCUUCAUUAAGUCCUUAAAAUCUCCACUGAGAUGCGCAUUUAUCAUGUGAAGAAAUCUUAGAUUUGUCAAAUUCUCAAAUUGUUUUUCUGUGUAAAUGUCACCAUCUCCCUCAUCCUUUUCUAGACGUGAUAUAAGUAAAAAUAUUUCUUCUGCUGCACUGCCUUCACUCAGAUUAAUCGCCUCAAUCUUGUCCAUUCCCUAUAAGCAAGAAUCAAUGUUCAUUAGUACUAUAUCCAACUAAAGUCAUCGAAUGUCAUUUGUUCAUAUUGCUAUUGACGUGCAUUAAUGUAUCCAGAAGACUAGCAAUGUGAGGAUAUAAUUUUUCUUUUUACGCCAAUAAACUACAAUUAUAAAGGCUCACAAAGUGAAGGAUGUCAACUUUCAUUUCGAAAUUUGGCCAUACGCAUCCGGAUCUUUAAAAAAAUUAUGAUGUCAUGGCUCGUAAUAAAGUAAAAACUUUACAACUUGUAAUCUUCUUCUUUCUGGAACUGAGUUUCAUUAUUACACUAGUCAAGACAUGCAUGCAAAGCAUGGAAUAUAAUAAAAUUGCAAAGUGCAAAAUCAAAAUUUUACUUGGUCAAUUUUAUAUUUCUAUUAAGGAGACUUUUUCUAUUAAGCAAUGUAUGGGUGAAAGGAUAGAUAAAAGGGAGAAAAACCUCAGAAGCAGCGAGUCGGCGAGCAAGACUUUUCACAGAUUCGGUGUUAUUAAGGAGACUUCUAGCAAAUAUAUAUAUAGUUGAAAAAGUUAGAAAUAAAACUCUCUUUUGUCUUUUUUCUUUUUUCUUUUUUAAUUUCAAAACAUUCACAACACUUCAAAAUGGAAAUAACUGUUUUGACAACUCCAAAAAUCAAAAUGGAAGGGGGAAGAUAAAGAGGCCACGAGAUCCCGGCCUAACCGUUUUUGAUGAAAGAAAUUAAUUUCUCACCAUCGAUUCGGAUAAUUGAAAUAACUCAGAAAGGCUUGUUUCGAGUAACUUUUAUUCUUCAUCUUUUGUUUUUUUCUCAAGAGCACGCACUUUGGCCAAUUUUUUUUUCGUUGGUGAUAUAUCCGUGAAACUUGUCGAGCGCCAAAUUAUACAUGAUUUUUUUUAAAAAAAUUUUUCUGGAAUCUGAGUAUUAUUUGAUAUUUUGACGGAAGAGCAAGAUAUUUACUUUUGAUUUUUUAUUAGUUGCGGCAAGCAAUCUAUCUCGCCCUUUGCUUCAGCUGUAGAUUUUGACUGAAGGUAUUUUGGGAGUACCUGUUAAGUAACCUGGCAGUAAAAAAAAAAAAAAAAAAACCUCUAUGUGAAGUGGUUUUUAUUAAAGUAUUGAUUUAAUAUAAUACAAUAGCAUGAAAAUCGUGAAACUCAUCUCGAAAGAGAAACAAAGAUUUUUAGCGAAGAGGGCCAUUUAUCAAAUGAAAAAGUUAUACGUGAAAUACAAGAUUUUACUAAUUAAUAUAUCAAACAAGAGAUUUAAUAUGUAUAUAUAUUGCAACGUACACUUAAUUUCAUGUGAUAGGGAAAAUUAAUAUAUGAUAGAAAAACCAUAAAAGGAAAUUCUUUCUAUAAGAGAGCAACUCCCAACUUUCUAAUCACGUCAAUGAAAAAUUCGAGGCAAUAGUGCAGGUUCUCGGUCCUCUAGACCAAGCACUAAGUAGUGACCAACAUUACUCUUAAGUGUAGAACAUGGAUUAAAUGAGAAAAAGAAACAAAAUGGUUACCUUAUUUCCCUUUAGCACUUUUUGGGCUUCCUCAUAGUCCCAUAACCUGCUACGGCACCAAGGCUCUCGUUGGUUUUCUUCACGAACUAUUUCCCUACCAAGAUCUCUCAAUUGGUCAUGCAUUCUAAGCUUAUGAUCAUCUCCAACUUUUACCAAUGACAUGAAUAUCAAUACUUCAAUUCCCUCCCCGGGGUAAAAGUCACAAGCAUCCCACAUGUAGGAUGCGAUUAUGUUGUCAAUGCCUAUGAAAAGGCAAGCGAUAUCCAAAAAAAUUUGUUUUUGUCUAUAGUCCAAUGCUUCAUAACUUAUUCUUAAUUUUUCUUGCACUUUCUUAGGAGGGACUUUUUUUAACUUCUUUAUCGUAUCUGUCCACUGUCUUGACUCUUUUCCACACAAUAAUGAACCAAAAACCUCAAGGGAUAAGGGAAGCCCUCCAGUGAUGGAUACAGCUUCAUGAGUGAGGUCCUCAAAUUCCUUCGGAGGAGAGUCCCUUCGAAAUGCAUGUUUGCUAAACAGAAUCGAAGAUUGAUUGUAAUCCAUUUCCUUAUGGUCAUAGUCGUAGUCCACCCCAACUUCUUCAAGAACCCUCUUGUUUCUGGUGGUAAUAAUGAUCUUGCUUCCUGAAGAAAACCAAUCACGAUUACCAGCCAAACUCUGCAACUGAACAACAUCAUCCACAUCAUCAAGAAGAACGAGGACCUUUUUACUUUUAAAUUUGGAAGAGAUGAAAUUAGUCCCUGCAUCCGCAUUACAAACUUCAUCUUUCAGCUUCAAUAUAUCGUAGAUUAACUGAUUUUGUAAAUAAUGUACAGCAUUACGCUUCCACAUUUCCCUUAUAUCAGCAAUGAAGCUACGAUGCUCAAAUUGAUUGAAGAGCCUGUUGUAGAUGGCUUUAGCAAGCGUAGUCUUACCAAUGCCUCCCAUUCCGUGGAUGCCAACAAAUAGGGUGUCAUGAGAAUUAUUAUCCACAAAUUCCAUAACCUUCUUCACAUGAACAUCAAUUCCAACCAAAUUCUUAGAAAUGUCCAACUUAAACUUUUUCUUCAAUUCGUUCAACACUUUUCGGACGAUCGAUUUCACCAACUCUACUUCAGACCUGUCAAAUGUGACAUGAGUUCAAAUAUGUAGCAACAAUAAUUUUAUAUUGUUUAUCUAUAGAGAACAUAAUAAAUCGGGGGAUAGAUUGAAAAACUUAAAAUAUCAUUGCUGUCAUACAUCUACAUAUAAUGAUAUAUGCUAAGUCUAAAGUGUGGUUGCUUCAAAUGGGGUGCUCCAUUUCAAUGUUACUCCAACAUAAUUUAUCAAGUCAGGAAAAACUUGAGGGUAUCACUUAUGAAUCUUAAAUAUUAUAUAUAUUAUGGAUUUGAACCAAAGUUUAAACUGGUUUUUUUAUUAAAGAUACUAGGAAUGACGUGGAUGUGACUUUAAAAAUUGUUUAGAGCAUUUGAAUAAGCAAAGAUCCUAUAAGCCAGCCCAAUAUGAGAGUUAGCUAUCAAUCAAUAAACAAGUUAUAACUUUUGAUGCAAGAUGAAUUCAGGUCCCGUAACACCAAUCCGAAAAGUAGUUCAGAUUGUGAUAUUGUGAACUACUUGAAUGCAAUUGAAGGGAUUUCUUCUUGUUAGUGCAAUUCUACAGGCUCGCAAGUUUAACUUGUGUUGUGAAUUUAGAAUCAUUCUAGAUAGGUGCUCUUAUCAGUUUUCAUUGCCUCUAGGGAUGAUUACAAGUUGUACUUUGUUUUCCUUUUGAGUAUCUAUGUUCCAUGACUUUAAUGAUCUAGUAUUGAGUUUAUAGGGAAGUAGAAGAAUAAUUUUUACCCAAAAAAGAACAUUGCUUCAAUAUAUGCAGAUGCAUGAGAUAGAAAUUACAUGUUGAAGAUAGGAAAUGCUUUGAAAAUUAUUUAAACAGACAUAUAAUAAAAUUAAUCAUUUUUUUGUCAUCAUCGUAUAUAACCAAUGAAACAUUUCUUUUGUAAAAUAAUUUUAAUAAUAACUAAUCAACUUUAUCAAUGAUUUAAUAAAUGUAACUUGGGAAGAUAAAGAAUUAUAGCAAAGCUUGGACGCUACUGUCUUAUGAGCUUUAAAUAAAAAUCGCCAAUAAGUUGUACUAUUAAUCUCAAAUAGAUAUGUAAUUAGAAAAGUUUGUGACAAAGAUUAAUGUAAUGCACCCUAUAAUUAGAUCGGUCAAUAUCAUUAAAGCAAUAAAUUUUAUUCAAGUGAAUGAGGUAUAAGAGUAAAAAAUCUUCUGAUAUAAGAGUAAAUUCAUUAAAGCAAUAAAAAAAAAUUCCAUCAUCUUAUACUAUUACAAAAUCUUUUGAUAUAAGAGUAAAAAUUCGUUCAAAAAAUCUUCUUAUUCAAGUGAAUGGGAUCAUAACAAUAAAAUUUAUAAUUAGAUUGGUCAAUAUGGUUAAAGCAGAAAACUAAAAAAGAAAGAAUAACUUAUAGAAUUCAUGCACCGUAGGAUCUUACUGCGAGCAAGAUCUUACAGUUUUUUAUAUAUAAAAAAAAGAACGUAAAAUGAAGCAGGUGAGAAUUAGAGAAACCAACGUACCCAACGAAAAAAAAAGAAUAAUUAGAACAGCCAGUAAACACCCCCACGUAUUAAAAGAAAUUAGAGAAUGUUUCGGCGAGAAAUUUUACCCUUGGGCUUUGUAUCCUUUCAAGGUGCUGACUUCAAGGAGUGCUUCCGUCCAUUUCUCCAAGGUCAGUGCGUCGAAAGAAGACCUCCCAAGCAAACGUUUCUCACGCCUAUGAAAUGCCUCUCCAAAACUCCCGAUUUGAUGUCCCACAUCAGCUGGUUUCACUUUGUAGAAUAUAGGCAACACUAUCUGCCCAUUAUUUUCCUUGCGUUCCAUCAUUUGAACGAGUUCAUCUAGGCACCAACUACUUGUACCAUAAUUCUCUGAGAAAAUGGGGAUCAGAAUCUUACUGCUCGUGAUGGCUUCCAUAAGCACAGGUCUGAUGUCCUCGCCAUAGCAGAGCUCAUCAUCGUCUCUGAAAGCAUUAAUUCCAGCAUCAACAAGCCCUUUAUAGAGGUGAUCAGUGAAGCCAUGUCGAGUAUCCGGACCUCUAAAACUCAAGAAUACCUCAUAGCAGUUUCCAGUCAACGAACUAGAUGCACCGUUGUUCGCUUUUGUCAGGGAUGGACUAGAUCCAUCGGAAUUAGUUUCCGUCGGUGCAACCAUCGAACCAGAUGCACCAGUAUCAACAUCUUCUGCAUUUCUAGCCGCACUAGUUUUCUUCUUAUUGAGAAAAUUGAACGCGAGCACGGUGAGAAGGAUCGGUGCCACGAGCACGGCGAAAGAAUGCCCAAAAAUGGGAAGAUGCAUUUCGUCUUUGCUUUGACUUUGCCCUUGAUUAUCACCUUCAAGCCUGACAGAGAAAAAAGCCAGAAUGCUUCUCAGGAAACAGGAAAUGCGUUCUCGUUGCCCAUUCUCGUGGUUUGAUUUAUAUAAUGGAGCCAAUUGGCGACCAGAAUCGCACCAAUAAGUGAAACUUUGUCAACCGCGUGCUUAGAGUCGUUGCCUUCACGUGGCUGAAAUGUCGAUGCACAAGAGAAUCCAAAGAUAACACGCAUAGAACGGUGGAUUUGUUGGGAAGAUGAAAAGUGGAGAGAGAAUUGGGACUAGACUGCGUCGUGGAUUUGCGGGAGAAAAUGAAAAGUGGGGGGGAGAGAGGGAGAGAGGGAGAGAGAGAGAGAGAGAGAUUCGUCCGUUCCACUAAUUUCCAAACAAGUGCUCAGUAACAGACAAAAACAUGCAAAGCGUCGGGAUAAUGAAGAGGGCACGCUUGGACCACUACUUGCAACGUUGAACUUUCCUCUUUCUUCUGUUAAUAUAUUUUCCAUCAGCAAAGGUAUUUUUUGUUAAAUAUAUGUAAGCUCUUAAUCUCACUUAGGAAUUUACCCCUCGUACUUUGAGCCUAUUAAAAAUUGUACAGUCAAACUGACAAACUUUAAUUUAAUAAUGAAAUGUUGUAUUAUUCAACGAUAACUUAUUCUAGAAAUUUACGUUAUUGACACAGUCGAGGAUCAUAAAAAAUUAUUAGCAUGAGAGGAAUUUCUUUUUUGCUCUAAUUCUGUCUUGCCUUUUUGCUUUUGCUUUUACUUUAUAUAUAUAUAUAUAUAUCUUCAUUGGUUUGAUUUAUCUAAUCCAAUGAAUUGGGCGCACAUCAAUAAUUCAAACUUACCGAACUAGACAUAAAUUAGUAAUCCAUUGACCGGGACCAAAAAUGCAUUUAUGGUCGUUGCCUUAGUGUAGUGGAAGUUUCAAUGCACAGUAAAGAUAAACUUUAAGGAAAUGUAGAUGCUAUAAGUAGAUCAACCUUUCGGUGAAAUUGCAUUUUUUUGCUCUCUAUCAUUUCUUCAUGCAUGCCCCGAUAAUUCUCUCUCUCUCUUCAUUUUUUUUGUUAAUUUAUUUUCCAUCAAAAAAGUUAUUUCUUUUAAUAAAUCUAAGCUCUAUUCCAUUUAGGAAUUUAACCCCUUUCACUUUGAGCUUGUUAAAAAUGUUAUUGUCAAAUUGAUAAACUUCAUUUCAAGACUAAAAUGUUCAACUAUUACUUAUGCUAAAAAAUUAUAUUAUUACACGCGUCGAUGAUUAUAAAAAAUUAUCAACACUAUAUAUAUAUCAUUUUGUGCUCAAGCAUAAUGAGAAGAAUUUCUUUUUUGCUUUGUUUCUGCCUUAAUUUCUCCAUCAAAUCUCAUAGGUAAAUUGAAAUGCCUUCUUGCUUUUGCUUUUGAUUUAUUAAUUAUAUAUAUAUUUCUUUGUAGGUUUGAUUAAUCUAAUAAACUAGUUGGCGCGCACCAAUAAUUCAUUGACUAGGAUCACUAACUAUGCGUUUAUGGUCAUUGCCAUCACGCGGUGAAAGUUUUAAUGCACAGAAGAAUCCAAGACGAUCCCACCUAGGAGAAAGAAAACAUGUGACCAAGUUCCGAUGCAGAAGCAAUAAAAAGAAAAAGAAAACCAAAAAUAAAAGACAAUUGCUGUUAUGUUAUCCCGAGACAAGUGAUCAUAAUGCGUAAAUACAUAACCGUCUCGACAAUGAUCGCAUGGUUGAAUUUUCAUUUUCUUGUGUUAAUUUAUCUUUCAGUAGAAAAAUUAUUUUUGUUGAAUAUAAACUCUUGAUCUCACUUAGGAAUUUACCCCUCCUACUUUGAGCCUGUUAAGUAUUAUUGUAUCAAACCAAUAAAUUUUGUUUCUCUGUUGAAAGUUGCAUUAUCAACAAUCUCUUAUCGUAAAAUCUACUAUAUAGAUAAAGUCUUCAAACGAUUAUACACCCAAAGAAAGUGAAGAAAACCCUAAUGGCUUGAUAUCCCGACUCCUUAGGGGAAGUAGGUGAGGGCCCUAUAGGUCCUACGAUGCUUUUUGAAACAACUUUUGGUGAUAUGUAAUUUUUUACACACAUCUGCCUUUAUUUUGCUAGUUAUUCUCUAAAUAUAUAAUGGGGCAUUAACAGCCACUUGCCAUACAUUCGGACAACAAACAUACCGAUGCAUCAACCACUUAUAUAUUUUAUUAUUUCUUGGACUAACCAAAGAACCGCCGAUGUUGAAUAAGAAUCAAUCAGAGGGUAAAUAUUUUUAUAGCCCUUACUACACUUCUUUUAAGGUGGGGACUUUGAACACAUCAAUGCUCAAUAUUUUUGACUUUCCCCUUGUUUAAUUUCUUUUCCUGAUAAGAUUUUUUAACUCCACGACAAUUCUUUCUAGUUCCUUUCUUGACCUUUGCACAUUACUUCCCUUCUCGCUCCAAAUCCUUGAUUUUCUACUUGUUGUCAUCGCUUCCCUUACAUUCACUAUUUCCCCUUACAUGCUUGCAGAACCCUAAACUCAUGCCCGUGGUCAUUCUCAGCGACCGACGAGCCACCCUCCUCAAAAUCACCCAUUAGUUGGUGAGAGACGGAUGUGUGAGGCCCCAACUUGUCACUCCCUAUGAUGUCAAAAUUACACUUCGAAUUUAACCUAUAUAUACAUAUAUAUAUGCUUUUAUAAUCAACAAAUCACUUUGAUAUUACUACUAUGUUUGGGAUUAGCCAUUGAAAUUACUACAACUCGUAUCCCGUUACAAGAAAAGUGUCGUCAAGUACUUGACUUAAGAUAAUGUCCACUCGAGGCCUCCCCAUGGAUGCGGGGAAAUACUUGGACUGUUGAUUAAUGAUUAGGGCUCCAACUAACCUUUGAAGCGUUCUGGUCAAUGGUCAAAGGGCAAUUAUAUCAUGUAGGGCUAAAAGAAAAAAAAAAAAAAAAAGAAGAGAAGAAGAUAUCAUCAUGGAUUACAAAAUCAAAAGGCGAAAAAAGGAAAAAAAAAAAAAAAAGACAAAGAAAGAAAGGAGCGAAUUGUGCCGUUUGAAAACGAAAAGGAAGCUCGUCCACGACGUAAAAGCCAAACCUCCAUUCAACAUUUGUACCUAUUAUUGCUAGAAAGAUAUUUCAAAAUAACUACGAUUCGUAAAUAAUUAUAUCGAGUAUAUAUUAGGGAGCAUGCGUAUUAUAUAACAAAUGUGAAUAAAGCUUGCCCACAAAUAUUCAUUUGCUAAUCGAGUAAAAUCCAAACGGAAGGGAGCCAUCGAACAUGCGAGGGAGAGUGAGGAGACUAAAAAAGCUCUUUCUGCUUAAGAGAGCAUCGAUCUCCAAUGAUUUAUCCCCUCUUCUUUUUAAACUAAGUUAAUCACGUCGCUUGACGCAUUAGGUCAGGCCCAUUAAGCAUUUAAACAUGGUCUCUAGCUAGCUUAAUGUGAAAUAAGAGCUUUCGACUAGUGCUGUUAUUGCGCACAUAGACGCGUAAAAGUAAUUGCUAUUUAUAAAAUCAACUGCCCGUACAAUUAUUGUGCUAACCUUACACUUACGACGUGGACAUUACAUCAUUGAUUGACCCCAAAAAAAAAUAAUAAUAAAAGAGAAGAAAUUACAUCAUUAUACUAAUUGUUGAUCGAUAGAUAUCAUGUCUAUAUAACACCUAAAUAUUCUUUAACGAUACUUUUUUUUUUCCCAACAAGCAACUUCAGAAGUUAAAAGGGGUUUUGCUGCCUUUACGAGCUGUUCGACAUCAACUUGCAGCUGCAACAUCUUCGGAGUUAUGACACUUUCACGGUGCAACAACUUAUAUCAACUUUGAAGAGAUACUUGAUAACUCUUUGAAACUACAAAGACCAGACCUAGACUCACUAUUGCACGUGUACUUUUCUCCGGUGAAGUUAUUUUCCCUGGUAUAUCAUGUGUUCGUGAACAAACGACGUGGCAUGAAGACUGCGUCCCCUCGCAUGUCAAACAGCAAAUACAUCCUGUUUUGUUAUUAAUCAAUAAAUUUGUGGGACAAAAAACUUAUUAAUUACUAAAUUGCCAUUUCUCACAAAUUUAAUUUUUGGUCAGACUAUUUCUCACAAAUUACCAAAAAAAAAAAAGCAAUUGGCUACGUGCUGCCACCAAUGUGAAUGAUCGAAACCCAACGCGCUUGUGCGUUAUUUUAAACCAAUUUCAAAUACUUGCUCCCCCGACCGAAAAUUUCCAUCAACGAAUUUUGGAGAAAGAAUUGGAAAAUCAACAAUAACAUAUAUGAUAUAAUAUAAUUCCAUGCCCUCGUUCUAAGAAAUCCAGCUUUACAAUGAUUACUAAUUCGGGAAAUCGUCCUAUGCUCACACUACAAUUAUUUAUAAUAACACUAUAAAAUAGAAAAUGUUUUUAUCCUAUGCUUGUUAGAUUCAAAUUUUGUGUCUCAACUAUUUUCAAUCAAGUAAACCUAUUGAAAAUAUUCUCACUUUAAAGGUCACCCUGUCAUUAAUAUAUUAUCUCAAUCUGUAAUUGCAAAUGCAUAAAAUUGUAAUUCACAGUAAUUGAAACGAUUGUCAAAUAAUUGCAAAUGCAUACUCGUUAUGACCGACUCAACUUAUUUAUCGAGGAUCUUAAAAUUAGUUUCUUUUCUUUACAACAAAUGGUGCAAAAACAGGAAAAUAAUUUUUCAUAAUCAAUGAUUUAUCGAAAUAUAUAAUUGAUUGCCCUUAUGUUGAGAAGCCUCAAUGUGAAUUUAUGGUACACCAACUCAGGCCAAAAAGACAAAAAAAAAAAAAAACGAAUAAAAACCUACUUUUCUAAAUUAUGUUGGAUUAAUAAAUUAAUUCAGAUUUAUUCACCAUGAACCCAACCUAACCCACGGUCCAGGUCACACGAAAGUGAGUGGAAUCUUCGUCUUGCAGACGUAAUCGGACAACGGUGCCAGCCCGCAGCCCCGCCCAGCUGUAGAAUUACACGUGUCUUCAUCAGGAGCCUCCACCUGGUCGUCUCCGUAAUGCGACGAGUGGAUCACGUGCAACGAGAGAGACCGAAAGAGAGAGAGAGAGGGGGGGGGGGGAUGAGCGGUGGUGAUGAUGGGACCCACCUGACACAAAGGCUUGUGAUUAUCGCCCGCCUUUUGUCCACCUUUGAAAAGUCAACUUGCUCUUCUUUUUUAUUUUUUUUAACGCGCCUUUUUUUGGGUCGGAAUUUCUUAAACACGCAAGAAUACUAAAGAAUCUUGUUAAUUAACAUGUUUUUAAAAUAUAUAAUGACUAAUGGAAAGAGCAACGAUAGAGACUGAAAACUAGGGCCGACCAAUCAUAACGAGCGUAUUCAGCGAAAAAUUAUCAUAUGAAUGUGUGUAUAUAUAUAUAUAUUAAAUUUAAAUCUGAAUCUAAAAAUAAUGAAUUUUAAGUAGGUCUUACAAGAGAUUUAGUGGUGCGGAAACUAUUCAAUACAUUUAAUAUAUUCAUUGAUUAAUACAUCACAUAUGAUACUUAUCAGUUGCGUCAAUUAUCCUUUUUUCAAGCAUGAUAGUUUGAUUUCAUAGCCAACUACUUAAAAUAUAUGUUAAAACACUCGGUUAAUGAGGUUCCAUAUAUAUGAAAGCGAUGAGAAAGAAACACGAAAGCAAUUGGAGCAUUAUGGGGAGCGAAAAAUCGGCGGUGUUUAUUUCAAUUUGCACCAUUUAAUGUGGAUAACUGAAAAUAUUUUUAGAGGGAAGCUUUUUUGAAAAAUCUUGACAUGCAUGGAGUCUCGAUUCACCAUCCAAUGGACCUUAGCUCUUUGGCUUUUGAAAUUGCUUGGAUCGAUUCCUUAUUUAUAUUUUGACCUAUGGGUUUGCUUCAUGCCAUGGGUUCUAAACAUGCAAAAUAACAGCCUAGAGGAAUUAAGAUAUUUCUUCUAAUUAUGCUGAGGAAUAGCAACAGUAAAAAAAAUCACAAUUUUUGUAUUUUCAAAGGGUUAUAAAGGUAUUAUGACAGCCUACAUAUUCAUGAAAAAAAUAAUUUUAAACUGGCUGAGUAGUGACUCGCUUAUUUAAAUAAUUCUAAUAUUAAAACGACGAUAUUGUUAUUUAUGGGUUCUGGAACCCUUUCCCCCAUUUCCCUAUUAAUUUUCUUCAAUCCAUACACCCUCAGAAUUGGAAAAAUCUUCCAGUUUGAAACUCACCGAAAUUCUUUUUUUUUUAUAAAAAAAAAUGACGAAGUUUUUUUUUUUUGGUAAGUAAAAAAAAAAAAGACCAAGUUAGUGACUUGAAUUUAGGAGAAUAUUAUUUAAACAGAAUUGAGAUGAACCUUGUGGGGGUUUAAGGUGUAGACAUUUUUCUUACCAGGAGGCGCUAAUGCUUUGCGUGCAUCUCCCAAGUCCAUCAUACUAAUACGUCGAAAAAAAUCAACCAUUGGAAUGAGCAUUGUCCUUGAUUGCGUUAAUUUUAUGCUUUCGCGUCAUAUGCUCUGUCCCCCGCAAAGAAGAAAACAAAUGUCAAUUUUGGAAUUACUUGAAUUGGGUAUGGGAACAAAAAUGCACAUUUCUUGUUAGACUCUGAUUAUUGCAAUUGUGCUUGUAUCUACUCUAAUCAUCUCCUUGGAGAGUUAUUGUUACUUUAUGUAACAUGUUAAUUGAAGAGUGUAUAAGAGUAUUAGCAGUAUUUGGUUAUUGAUGUUGAGAUUUAUUAGCUUCGAAUACAAGCAAUACGUGUUAUGUGACAACUACUUAUAAGAUUAUUAUUGGAUUCCAGCCUUGUUGGUCUAAGAGAGUCGAUGUAAGCUUAAUAUAAGCUGAACCACUAUAAAAUCUGGGUGAGACAACUUCUGUUUCUUCACUUAAAUUUAUGUUUGGUUUAUGGAAGCAUAAUGUCUACAAUAUCAUCACACUGUUGUUGCAUCUCUCAGUCUGCUCCAGCAUCUAUCAAAACUUAACUAGAGUUAUUUAACAAAAGGAUUAUUAAGUUUUGUGAAUCGACCUUUUUAGCUCGCUUUAAGUUACGUUAUUAGCCUCAACAUUAUUUAGUUAUUGUGAUGGGCUUUUUUUUUUUUUUUUAUUAACAGGAAAUCGAAUUUUAAAACGAUAGAGUAUUAUAACAUGGAAUUCAGUUUUCUGCUUUUCAUUUUUGGCUCUUUUUUUUUUUUUUAUGUCCUUAUUGCUGUGGAAUUUGGAUUCCUAACACGGGACACUUUCUGGUGCGUGCUUUGAGCGAAUAUGAUUUCUAAUUAAUAAAUGUCUGCAGGACACUCUGGUGCGUGCUUGAGCAAAUGUCCUUUUGAUUGCGGUACGUUCGAUGUGUUUCUACAGGAGGAAAGAAGAUGCCGCUUGAAGAUGCCUUGAUGCGAAGCGUACAUACAGACAAAAGUAAGUAAAAAACUGUAUUAUACAAGUUGGCAAAUUGACUUUAGAAUAAUGUAAAUAGGAGUGCCUUCCUUACAGCUCAAUUCGACAGGGAUUAACGUAAACGAAGUUCCUGUCAAAUUUAUCGGUUGCUGAAGGUUUAUAUAUAUUUGUUAGGGCUAGUUGAAAUAACUGCUAUUGAAUUGUUUUAGCGAUAUCUAGAGACGGUGGCAAUUUUAAGCGGGAAAAUUGCUAACAGAAGUAUCUUACCCACACUUUUUAGCAUCUAGUCAUUUUGUAAAACAUUUAAGCCAAUUUUCUUUUAUUCAAUAAACUUUCUUCACGGUUAAGUUGUAUGAUAUAUGUGUGGAUAUAUAUAUAUAUAUAUAUAUAUAUAUAUAUAUAUAUAUAUAUUUGUAUCACAUCUGAAGAAAUAUUCGACCACUAUUAUGAAGAAACCUUUCUAUUAAGUGAAAUCUUAUUGAUGUUUUUGUAGAGAUUUCAACCCCUUGAUUAAAAUAAUGUUAUGCAACUUUCUAUUAAAAAAAGAAAAAGGAAAGAAAACUGACGAGAAAUAUUCACAUGCUCCAGGUGCUAAUGUCCAGGAGUCAAUGACAAAAACAUAUUACCCAAACGCAAGAUGACAAAACCAUAGCAGUCAGAUUGGAUUUCGUUCAUAGAUAUCUAUAGCACGCUUAAUAUUCAAAUAAGGAAAGUUUAUUCUCAAACUUCAAUUUGAUUUUUUUUCGAAAAUCAACACUUAUAAACUAAUACAAAAAAAGGCCAAUAAUUGAUGGCAAGCAUUAGUCAAUGCGUCUUUUGUCUUUCUUAUAAAGAGAAGACUGAUGACAUUUGCUUUACGGGUUUAUAAAUCCCAUCUAGGUCACAUCUUCCACCUAAAACACUUAUAAAAAAUCUCCCCCAAAAACAUGAGCAAAACUUCUGCCGACUUUUUACAAUAAAAGUCGCAUAAAACCAAAGUUUACCAGCCAUCUAUCUAACAAGAAUCCAAUAGAAUCAUUUGUCGUUGUUGUCAUCUGAAAUUGGACUUGCCACCGAAAAAUUUGGUUUUUUUUAAUAAAUAUCUGCAGCACGCUUAAUAUUCAAAUACAGAAAGUUUAUUAUUUUCAAUCUUCAAUCUGAUUUUUUUAAUCAACGGUUAUAAAUUAAUACCCAAAAAAAAGGCCACGAUUAGAUGGCAUUAGUCAAGGCAUCUUCUUUCUUUAUUAUAAAGAGAAGACGCCAUUGAUGACAUAUGAUUUACGAGUAUAUUAAUCCCAUCCCCGUCACAUGUUCCAUCAAAAACACCGUUGAAAAAUCUCCCCUAAAAUAAGAGCAAUAAUUUCACCGACUCCUGAUAAAAAAAAGUCGCAUAAAACCAAACCGGCCAUCUAUCUAGCAGGAAUCCAAUUAGAAUCAUUUGUGGUUGUUGAGAUUUGAAAUUGGACCUGCCACCGAAAAAUUUGGAUUUUUUUAAUAAAUAUUUGCAGCACACUUAAUAUUCAAAUACAAAAAGUUUAUUAUUUUCAAUCUUCAAUCUGAUUGUUUUUAAUCAACAGUUAUAAAUUAAUACAAAAAAAAAAAGGCCAAGAUUAGAUGGCAAGCAUUAGUCAAGGCAUCUUCUUUCUUUAUUAUAAAGAGAAGACGUCACUGAUGACGUAUGAUUCACGAGCAUAUUAAUCCCAUCCCUAUCAUAUGUUCCACCAAAAACACCGUUGAAAAAUCUCCCCCCAAAAAUAAGAGCAAUAAUUUCACCAACUUCUGAUAAUAAAAGUCGCAUGAAACCAAAGUAACCGGCCAUCUAUCUAGCAGGAAUCCAAUUAGAAUCAUUUGUGGUUGUUGUCACCGAAUGACUUGGAUCUUUUUAAUAAACAUCUAUAGCACACUUAAUAUUCAAAUAAGGUUUAUUAUUUACAAUCUUGAAUCUGAUUUUUUUGAAAAAUCAACACUUAUAAAUUAAUACAAAAAAAGAAGAAGCCAAGAAUAGAUGGCAAGCAUUAGUUAAGGUGUCUUCUUUCUUUCCUAUAAAGAGAAGACAUCACUGAUGACAUAUGAUUUACAGGCAUAUGAAUUCCAUCCCCGUCACAUCUUCCACCAAAGACACCCUUAAAAAAUCUCCUGCUAAAAUAAGAGCAAAAAAAUUUCACGGACUUCUCAUAAUAAAAGUCGCAUGAAAUUAAAGUUGACCAGCUAUUAUCUAGUUGGAACCCAAUUAAUAAUAAUAAUAAUAAUAAUAAUAAUAAUAAUAAUAAUAAUAAUAAUAAUAAUAAUAAUAAUAAUACUAAUACUAAAUGAUAGUUUCAACGACUUCAUAGUUGUUGUCUUCUGAGAUUGGAUUGUCCAUCGAAUAAUUUGCACCAUCUUCACCAAAAACUUGGUAGUCAUGUUGCAUAGUUUUGUUGGCUGCAUCAGGUUUGGUGGAUGGUUUGAUUGUCUUAUACUAAAUUCUAUGAGUGGGAAUCCAAUUACAAUAUUAUGUACGCACUCUUUGUGUCCUCGCAGUCAAAUGGGUUAUUUGACAAAAGAAAAAUAGUUUGUAGCAAUAUCUCAUGUUUGGAAAUAAUAACAUUAGUCGAACGUGAAGUAUCUUUAUCAUUAGUUACUAGCAAUAUCCAGAUUGGGCUAUAUGUCGGACUUUUAACCUGUUCUCCGUAUCAUGAGAAAACCUUUGUGAUUUCGAAACAGGCCUCCAAGGGCUCAACUGAGCUGGGCUGGGCCGGGCCGGAUUUUACGACUAUAUUACCUUGUCAAACAACGCCCGUAAGUGGUCCCUUCGGGCACAUGUAGGAGUGGUGGAUUAAUUAUUGAAAUGUAAUUGGGAAAAAAACAAUGCGAUAUCAUCCUCAUUCACUUUAAAUUAGAAAAGUAUGUUAAGGAGCUAUUUGAAUCGGCGUCUUACAAUCAGUUGGUUAAGUGUCGAGAAGAUGGACUAGCUCGAGCUCGAUCGAGCCAUUUGCCAUCACCAUGCAAGCUUCAAACACUCGGCCGGAUUACUCAACCAAGUCAUUGGUCAUUACCACCUGAAAUCCACCCCUUUUUGCGCGCCAUUUCUUUUUUAACUUGGGAUGAUUGAAUAUCAAACUCAAUUGUAUAUGAUCAUUCUCUAGUCAAGCGGCGAACGUCAAUGUUUGAUCCGGCCAUUUCUCGUAUGUGCAAUGCAAACGAAUUCGGCUUGCUGCAGUACUUCAAGUGCUUGGCUCUGAAUCUGAAGAGCGUGGAGAUUGCCUAGUCCCUAGCUCGUUCUUUUGAUGGCGGCGGAUGUUAGCUCACCUUGUCAAUCCUGCUUUUAUCAAAUGAUGCACUCUUGCUGGAGAAGAUGGUCAUUAAUGUCAAGAGUAAUGGAAGACGCCAAUUGAAAUCUUUUGAGUCUUUGCCAUAGCUGGCUCUACCCUACCGAGUUGCUUUUGAAAAAGCUAGGUUGUCUUUAACUAUUGUUUAAAGCGAGUUCUUGCUAGCAGCGUCAAAGAGUUAAAACAACUUAAGAAGAACCCCAGUGAGACUGUCCUGGGUGAGGAAUGUACUGAAUCCUAGUUCCUAUUAAGUCUAUUAGUCCUUCACAUGGGGCUCCUCUGCUCAGAUCACAAAGAUAAGAAGUCAAAUGAGCACCAUUUUGAAGUUUCUACCAAAAUAAAAGUUAUAUUGUAUCCUGCAAUGAACUAUGAAGAAAUUUGAAGCUGACUUUAUUUCCCAAGCAUCCUCGGAAGCUAGAGAAUAUCUUUACAAAAGAAGACUGCACCAAUGACAUCAAACCUUUCAAAAACUGGAAGGAGAGCCUUCGAAUUUAGUGUUAUUGUUGCUGGACUGAGUCUUGGCUUCCAGUAGUGUGAAUUUUUGGACUUCUAUUGAAAAACUGACCAAGGCUUGCUCAUGUUGAAAACUAAGUAGAGCUGGUCAAUUGACGAAUCAAAUCAUAAAUUGAGUGUUUUUUCCCCUCAAAUUGAGCAACGCCAAUCAAUUUGGAAUUUUGAAGAGGGCCUAGUCUAUACAUGAACUAUGCUCUCUCUCUCCCUUCUUUGCAAUCAUUAACAAACAUAUAUCGUUUGCCUUGAGAUUGGUUUUUUGCUUGAUAUUAGGAGGCAUAUAAUCCAUCUAACAUUGCUUAUUUUGAUUGUGGUUGAUAUUAGGUUUGAUGCCAUUAAAAAUCCCAAACUGUUGACUCAUGUCUAAUUUAUUCCAACUAUCCUUAAAUUGAACUUGCAUUUGAAAGUACUGAGAAAUAGCUUUAAAUGAUAUGAACAAACAAGAGGAUUAGGUUACUGUAAGCCACUAUCGAAAGCGGUAAUCUAAUAGAUUAUCAAUACAAAGGCAAAAGGGCUAUCAUCAAGUACUUGCAUUUUAUCAAGGUUUAGUUUGUGAGAUACAACAUCAAUUUGGACAUGAAAGAUUUAAGAGUUGAUGUAUCAUCAUGACCUAUAAGGAUAUUCAAUGUGCUGAACAUUCAAUAUCCAAUGCUAAUUACACACAAAAAGAUAUAUUCUAUUAAUUGUGAUUGUGCAAAAUGAGCCUCAUUUAAUAUACUUUGUCCAAUUCGCCAUAUAGUAGCAAAAGUAAAUUUUAUAAGCUCUAAACGGCCAUAAAUAGUGGGUUUACCCAAGGUGUUUGGUGUGAUAGACAAGUUGUCUUCUAGACAUUUCCUAUCAAUAGUAAAGCUUCUCCCCAUUUUCUCCAGUAAUAUUUGUUUUACUAGCCUUCUCUUGUUUUCUCGAUCCUCAAAAACUUUUAAUUGCAAUUUCUCCAAGACGAGCUUGUGUAAAAUGGCUCAUGGAACUAAAAAUUUACAUGAGGUUUGCACCGACAGUGGACCUCAUAACAAUCAUUUGUUUUGUUGGUAAUAUUAUUAUCUCAUCUUCUUAUUAAUGUUUGACAUCAGUGUUUCUACACUUGCAUCAAGUAAAAAUAUAUAUAAUUUUCUGGGAAGAGAGGGGGAAGAAUACAUUGAAAACGAGAAUAUUUGGAAGGGCAAUAAAUAAAGGAGGAUUUACUUUUAGAGUAAACUCAGCUAAAGUUCACAAAAAGCUAUCAUUAUGACAGAUAAUAAACAUAAGAAAUAUCUCGUGUGCACAUGUUACUUUCAUACGUUCUCUUUCCUCGAGAUUGGCAAUAAUUCCAAAAGAAAGAAUAAUACAAUUAAACAAUUUUAGAUAGGGUACGAAAUCCACUAACAAUAUUGCAGACAUAAUCUCAUGACCUUAAACCCACCAUUUAUUUGAGGAUUCCAAAUCUCUAAGAUUGGAAUAUAGCCUAUGUUCUUAUUUGCCACCUUAAAACCAUAUAUCUUGCUAGUCAUAUUCCACAUAGGAAUGUAUUUUGUACAUCAGAUCGAAUGCAUCACUUAACAAUGACUUGUGGAGGAGUGAGUCAAUCUCAAGCGAGAUAUUUCAAUAUGCAAAUGUAGAGUUCGUUAGCCAAGCACACUGCCCGAACCACUGAACCCAAAGUAUAGAUAGUCCAAACCAAAUAUUUGGUUCCCUUACACAUGAAAAUAAUGAACAUAUACAGAUGUAGCAAAAGCUUGGCACUAUCAAGCAGGUCUCAAAGCUUACAGCAAUACCAUGAAGGCGGUUACCACCGGAUAGAAGCCAUGACUCGCCAUCUUUCGGUCAAUUCUAUCCAAAUCAAUAGAUAAAUUGUUACCUUUUACUCCACUUUUUCCUUCAACAAAUGCCCGCCUAGCAGAAGAGGCACAUGGCAGGUAUAGGUUAGGACUUCUCGAAGAAGGGUGGAGUCAAAGAGCUUCAGUCAGAAAGCCCACAUGCAUUGCUUCUCACACUGAUGUCUGCAGCUUCAAGUAUUAGAGGCCCACCCACAGCAGCAACUCAAGUAUAACCAUCACAAACUCUUGAACAAACAGUCAUUCUGAAUCAGAGAUUCUUCUUCUUACUCGUCCAGUAUGCAGAUCAGGGCCUUUCUUUCUUGCAGCUAAAACACAAGCCACACCUCUACUUGCUGUUGCCAAAAAAAAGUCAACUUGAUUUCAGUCCAGUGUNNNNNNNNNNNNNNNNNNNNNNNNNNNNNNNNNNNNNNNNNNNNNNNNNNNNNNNNNNNNNNNNNNNNNNNNNNNNNNNNNNNNNNNNNNNNNNNNNNNNNNNNCCUUGUGUGCCUAAAGAGGCUAUGGCAUGCAUAUAACUAUAAAUGCUCUAUAGUAUCUUGCUAUACUAGAUACCAUGAUAGAAUCUAUCAUCAUGAACUUGUAGAUAGUGGUUCUCAGUCCGUAACUCAAGACUGUUAUGCACCAAUUAUAAGAGAGAGAUUAUUCUUUCUGUAUUUGUCUGGCAAUUAUAGAUUCAUCCUUUUCACACUUUGUCCUCUCAAUUGAUUUAAGGGGAAACCUAAUACUCCAGCAUUUUACUUCUUCGACAGAAAAAUAUUCUUCUUUGGAGCAUGCUUUUGCACUUCUUCAAUCUGCAGGAACAAACAUGAGGUGGUCUAUUAAAGAGGCAAAAUGUACCUAUGCCAAUCACAUUUAAACUUAAGAGUAGGUUCUCAGCGGAAAUGUAGUAAGGAGCAUGAACAGGAUUAAUUCAGUUCCACUACCCAGCCAACGAGACAAACUGUUACUGACACUGGCAAGUUUAUCAAACAUUGAUACACAAAGGAAAGAGUAGGGCAACAAUAAGUUUCCAGACAUCCACAACUGCAAAUGGACAUGUUAAGAAGCUCAAAGAAAAAAAUCUUCAGAACUAUACAAUUGAUGGCAUCACAAUGAAUUGAUCCUUAGCCCGAUAGUAUGACAGCAUCAAAAUGUUCUUACCACUAACUGACAAGGGAGGAACUACAGCAUGGGGAAUGCUGCGAAGCUUCUCAUUCUCCGUCUCCACAACUGCACUCACCCCUAUUAAAAAAUGGAUAAUUAUCUUUCCAAUUGGCCAAAAAAAAAAAAAAAGGAAGAAGAAGAAGAAGGUAAUUAUAACAAGAGAUAUUUUAGUAGACCAGACAUAAGUUUUCAAAAAACCUUCCACAAACCCAUAUUGAAGCUGCUGAAUAAAAUCCUAAGUUUGAGAAAAGAAAUAUUUUAGUAGACCAGACUAAUAUAACUACUUAACUGCAAACAAAGCAUUAGACAGAACAUGAAAGGUAUGAACAAUAAAAUAUUGUCUGUUCAGAAUCAAGAUUGAGAAGUUAGAUGAACUUUUUUCAGUUGAAAGAUGCAUACUCUAUUCACUUGGGCAUCCUCCUCCCAAUUGAGACACACCCCAGCUGCCGCAUGGGACUUAAGCUUCUUAACAGUUUUCCAUUCUGCUUAAUAUUUAUACCGAGUUAAAAAAAAAUAUACCACAGUACGUAUAACUGCUGCAAGCACUAGCACGUAACAAGCAGCACGAUGCAUAUCCACGGUUCCAUAAAGACGGCUAGAUUGGUAAGAUAACAUUCAUAUGUAAAAAUAAGAUCUUCAAAGCAAAACAUAAUCCAUGAAGUGGAUAAUGAUUAGUAAAUUGGUAAGACAUCACAAAGAAACUUUAUGGCAGCAGCAUCAGCCAAGUUCUGAGCAAUUGUACCUAUGACCAAACAGCUAGCUUAAUGAAUAACUGGUAAUCUACAAACUUUUCCACCCACAAGCAUAUUUAAGGCACAUACAAAUUCUAUCAUUUAGGAGUCUUCCGAACUAUUACCUUCCUAAUAUGACCGAACUGGACAUGUGUCGCUUUAAAUAAUAGAAAGAAACUAAUAAUUUGAUGAAAAUGAGCGUGCCAUGGAUGACUGCUUCUAUAUGCUGUCUCAGUCAUCUUUGGAUAGGAAUGAACGAUUCAAUCUAAUUAGUUAAAUGGGUAUUUAUAAGAUAUCAUGAUAUCAUCUAAACCGAGCACUUUGUAAGUUUACGGCUAUUCUUCUUAAAAAUUAUAUGACAUUGACGAAGAUAUGCAUAUUGCAUGUAUUGUACAAGUAAUAAAUGCUGCGCCGGUCAUGUUUGGAUUGGAAUGAACCAUUCACUUUAAUUAGUUAAAUGGGCUAUUCAUCUCUUGUCGUUUUUAGACCUAUUUAACAAAGGGGGCAUGAUCGAAAAGAGUGUUCUAAUAAGAUCUGUUAAGGCUUUUGUGCUUAGAUUGACCUAACUAGCAGUCCACUGUUCAUUUGACAUUGGCAGACAGGACCUGUAAACAUGGAUUGCCACCUAUAUUAGCAGCUAAAUGUGUGUUGAGCAAGCUUGCUGUUUGCAAUGCAUCAUGCGACUUUUGAGCAAUUCAGAAUCUUUCCCAACAGAGAUUAGAGAAGAACACAUUCUGAAGAUAAGGGAUUCUUGCAGUGAAACUGUACCAUCUUCUAGUCCCAAGACAACUACUUUGCCAUCAGGAUGCCAGCAUAAUGAUGUUAUACAUUUACCUAGAGUACAUUAGAAUAGUUAGAUAAUCUAGUAUAAUGACAUACAAUGGAAUGUGCAAAGAAAAGUGAUUUCAUAAACAACAACAACAACAACAACAACAACAAAAACACAGAGAGAGAGAGAGAGGGGAGAGAGAGACAGACAGACAGAGAGGAUGAAUAAUUUGUUCACCAUAAAAUUAAUAGACUAAGAGGAAAGACAGAGAACACACAUAAACCGAGAAAAUGAUAAUCAAAAUUUGGGAAGUAAGGCAAACAUCAUAACAGUACACAUUAUAUCUGACAGGGAUAUUGGUAGCUUGACAUGGGAUUUCUUUGGGCUAGUAGAUCAUCUAAAGCUAGGGAAUCUACAUCUUUUUGGCAGCCUUCAAUCCAUUAUCUCAAUCCAGGAACAAAUCUUAUUGUUCAGCUUUGGAACCUUGAGGUGGAGCGUAACCAUGAAAGCAUACGUCAAGCAAGGAUCACAGGUGUACAAGUAUCUACAACUUAUCUAAACAGAAACCACUCAAGGAUUGGUUCACGAAGCACUCAACAACAUGUUUUUCAUAUCAAGAAGGCAACAUGAUGCAUGCGGCAUUCAGAUGUUUCUGGAGAAAAUAUACCUCCUCUCUAAAUUUUUCCAGUGAGAAUAGAUUACAAAAACUACCAAGGCUAGGCAUCUGAUCCCAAGCUCUUACAAAUUUGAAUUGCCAAAAGAUAAAGCCGUACAAGAACUUAACAUAAUUGGAUGCAGCUCCGCCUAACCUCCUAGUCUUUUAGCUUUCUCCAACUCCUCCCUCCAUGUAUACAUGUAUGCAGCAUAGCUUGAGAUAUAUCCUAUUCACAAGUAAUUUAAAAUUCCCAACAACAAACUUGAUUAAUCAAUAUGAUGUGACGAAAUGCCCCUUUGUAAUCAGAAGAAGAUAAAUUAAUUUCAAGUAAUACAAAUUGUGCGAAAUUUUCCAGACUAGACUCUACAUUUUAACAAUACAGAAUGUGAGAAAUCCUUGUAGGGAAUGCUCAAUCUGUACAAGAAGAGGAAAAAGAGGAGCCAGAAGUAAUAUUACCCUCAAUUAGUACAAGAAGAGGAAGAGCGGAGCCAAAAGUAAUAUUACAUCGUGAGAGUCACUAACAGAAAUUGAAGGAAAACUAUAUAGAUGCCCAAUGGCAUUGAGAUCAUAUUUUGCAGGGAUUAAACCUGUCAACUCCAAGUGGGCAUCAAGCAUUUCUACAUUGGACAUAACCAGUCUAUCUAGCAUAAACGACAUCCCCUCCAAUUCUAGUUCUUUAUCUUCGUGAACACUUUGACUGGUGUACCGAAAAGGGCAAAAAGAUGGCAAUACAGGAGCAGGGUACACUUCCAGUUGGUCUAAACGAUUGUCAGUUAUGUUAUGGAAAUCUCCAAAGGCACCAAUCUUGUCUAGAAGUUAAUAGAAAUCUAUCGCGCCUGUAAAUUAAAAUCCCUUCAUUCAACUAGUAUCAGUUUGAGAUUCUUUAUUGGCAACUAUGUCAUCUCCAAAUUUUCCCUCCCAUUACCAUCAUUCACUCUUCAUUUUUGUGUAAAACAACGACUCUUAGUUUGUUCUCAUUUAGAAUUCCAAGCACUUAACCUCUAUAUUCACCAACUCUUCAUCAAAUGCAAUUUGAACUGGAUUGGCAAUUGAAGUGAUUUAUUUGGGGAAAAGGACCGUAGCACAUUUAACGAAAAGCAAAUGGGGAAUAAGGCCAACGUGCAUGCAGAGUCAGAGACUUGCAAUUGGGCAAAGAAAACGGUACACCUUGUACCUCUGCCACAAGUGAUAAAACCUAAGCACAUUCAACAUUUGAAAGGCAAAAGAAUAAGACAGUUUACUCUUCCUUCCAAAUACAGUUUAAAACCCCAGCAAUUAUAUGCUUUGAGAACACUUUUGGUUCCCACCUAUGAGACAAAUUGAGUGACUAAAGCUUUUGAGUGUUGAAAUAGUAGAACUUAUAUACUAUUUCUAGUCAACAAUUGCUUUUUCGGUCUUUUAAAAAACAGGACACAACUACUUUUCAUUAAUAAUUUACUAUGAUCAUUGGAAUGAUGGUUAUGCACUACUGAGCAGGAAAAAGAAUGACCCUUAACCAGCUGCCUUUUGUUUGGUUCAUCAGUAGUUAUUCUGAAGGCACGAUGUGUAUUUGCACCAGUCAUGAUCAGGCAGAGUGGUGAAACGAUGUAAACCAGAUUCCUCGUGCUGAAGUUUGGAAUGAACUUCCUUAACUCGAGGAAGAGGGAACAAUGAAUUAUCCAUAAGUAUGAACCAAACGAGUUAAAUUUGAAAUAAAAAACAAUCUGCUCACCUGAAGGCACCAACUACCAAUUAAAAGCUUAGUCGCGUUCUGCAGCUUCCGAAGCAGUCCCUCGACCAGGUUGCAAUACCCUCUGUAAGACUCGUACCGAUUUUGAACAAAACAAUCAGAUGGCCUUCUAAAAUCCUCGCCUCUCAUAAAAAAGUUCGACUCUGCUUCAAUCAAGGAUUGAGACUUCCGUUACCAGCUGCCUAAUCAUGCCAGAAAAUCCUCUCAAACAGCAACAGAGGACUUGAAAUCUCCAAGGGGAAACCCUCAUCAAGUGCAUACGGAAAGCAGCCAUUGACAGCAAUUUCCCUCAAAGUUCUCGAACAAACCUUGAUGGUUCGGUUUAAACCGUAGCAUCCUUCCAAACUGAGGUACUCGAGAACAGGGCUGCCAUUCGACAUCUCAUGCAUCACCUCCGAGUCGCAGACGGACAGGGACCUAAGAUUAAUCCAAGCGAUACUUCUACUCAACGAGAAGCAACAAAGCCCUGAGUGCAGGUUCACCAACGAAGAGCAUCCAUAAAAGGAGCAGCGGUACUGCGAAAUGGCCGGCCAUCUCGCACAACCUCUUAGUCGCAUCGACUGAGAGAGGUCCUCGACACGGCGGUCGACAGCAAAGCGAAGCCACGGACUGAGCUCAGGCGCGCAACGGUCGAGAAAAUCGGCGUCGAUGUGGAACUUCCUCACCUUGGGCGACGCCUGGAGGAUCAAGAUGCCGUCCACG